AAGCGCCACCAGCCUUGUCCAGGGCAGCGUAAACAGCAUCCAAGAUGGCAUCAAAAAGGUUACGGUAUUGCAAGGGAGGAUCUGAGACGACAGGAUUUUGAGAUCUGAACAGAGCAUAAUCCAGGUUGAUAGCCGGGUUGCCAUCGUAGCUGAAAUAGGGGUACAAGUUAACAAGUAAUGGGGCUUGGUUGUUCACCAGGAAGCGAAUGAUGGGAUCGAGAAGUGGCCUGUAUUCAGACCUAAAAGACCCCUUUGAUGGAGGAAAAGAUUCUCCCAGCGUCCCUGUGUCGAUUGCUGUGGAAACUUUGAUUUGGUUCCCUAGGCCAGCUGCAACAAUUGCAUUGCGAAUGUUUUGCAUGGCAGGGACUAGAAAUCGUGCCACCGGAUCCGAAGGUUUGACUUCAUUUCCAACAGCAAUGUAGCGGAAUUUAACGUUGCCAUAGUUUCUAACAUUGUUCUGGACCCAAGUGUUUGCAUUGGCUUGAUUGGCAGCGACACGCUGAAGAUCGGUAUUUGGAACCCCUAGCAUCAGCUCAAUGUUGGAGCCUCCGAGAGCUCGGAGAGCAGCUUGGUCUGGAUCAUAGAGUCUCAUUCUUCUGAUGUUUCUCUGGUUGAAGAGAGCUAUAACUUCUGGCCUUGGUGGUAAGUUGUUGCCAAGCAUUCCAUAACAAACACCUAUUUGAGCACCUGCAUUAGAUGUAACAAGAGCUUAAAAAUAAGAAUGUGUUACAUCAACAAAUUAUGCCACUAGUGCAACCAAACACAGGAAUAUGUCCACAAUAGCUAUUCCUUUCCAUAAACUAUAAAAUAACUAUUCCUUCAUAUUCCUACCUCAUUCUAUUAUUACAAAAUUUUAAGUUUUAUUCCAUUUAAUGUACCAAACCUACUUUAAUAUAUGUGGAUUGAGCUCCUUUCUAUCAUUUUUGUGUUCAUUAUUUUUUAGUGCACUUGUUAUUAUCAUCAUUCAUGUAGGAUUCAAUCAUGAAUAGUAGAAUCCAUACUUAUAAAUGUGAUUAAAAAUGAUUUUUUAGAUAACGAAGAAAAUCGGAUUACUGGACCAUUAAUAUUAUUUAGAGAGAGACAGAGAGAGAGAGAGUACUUGAGAUAUCUAGGGAUGCCAUUAGCAGGCCAAACAGCAGCAAUGUUGAAGCCAUAAAACCAAAGUUACCGGCUAAAUAGGAUUUCCCCAUGAGAGACAUAGAGAGACGGUACAAAAGAAAAGUGAAGAAUUGAAGGAAGGCCGAAACUCUAUUGCCAAAACCCCUACUUUCUAGACCUUAUAUAGACAUGAAAAGGAUCCCCACCACUUACAUUUUCCAAGUGAAUUAAUUGCUCCAUGGAAAAUUAUGUCACGGAAAAAGAAAAAAACAAAAUCUUCCACUAACACCAUCUAGAUUUCGUCAUUCAACUGGACCUUCUCUUAGUAACCUUCCAAAAGUCUUGGUCCUCAUAGAUCGGGAAAAUUCAACUGCGGCUUGUGCCAGUUCCUUUCGCACGAUAGUCAACUAGUCUUCUAAUUUAAUUCUGGCCUAUGGGUUCACAUUAAAAACGAAGGAGUAAAUUUUUUUUUUUUAUUGCUAUGCUUACACGAAUUACAUUAAUUCAUUUUGAGCCUUUCUACAAAUGGAAUUACUAUUAGCUAGCAAGUAGCUUACACAAAGUAACACCACUUUUUCUUUUAUUUAUUAUUAUUUAGGUAAGAGACAAACGAUCUUGAAUCUUCAAAUAAAAAGGACAAAUAUUAAACCUAAUAUUUGGAUAAAAUGACUCCAAUUUUAGCACGGCAUGUUCUUGACUUCCAUGACUAUGACGUGGAUUAUGGGAAUUCUCCGACUUCUUUAACCAUAAUUAUCGGCACAAAUUUCCAUGCACUAUUCAUAUACUGUUAGUAUAAUAUCUGCACUGUUCAUGUAUUGUUAGUAUAGUAAUAUCACUGUUUGUCCAUUUUAUAUCUAUCCAUUGGCAACAAUUUCAUUCGAGCAAAAUACACAAAUAAAUAAAAGAAAUACAACCGUAUAAUUUCCACUAUAUUGAUUUGGUUGCUAUUUUUAAUGGUAGAAAGCUUUGAAAGGUUACUUUUUCAAGCAAAUAUUUCUUUGUAUGAAAUUAAAAUUUUUAAAACCUUUUCCGAAAUUAAAUUAUACAUAAAAUCUAAUAUCAAAGGGCUUGCACAUGAUCAAUGAAACCAAUUUCAGUAGAUUUGAUCAAAAUUUUAUUAAUUUUUAUAUAUUUUUAAUUUGUUUAUUAAAAUUUGAUACAUGAUAUGAUAUAAUAAUUAUAUCAUAUAUGUUGAAAUAAGAACAUAUUAUCUAUAAUGAUUAUAUUACAAUUAACCAAUUAUAAUUUAAAAUUAUACGAGGAUCAUUAAAAUUUUAUAUAAAAUCUACACUUAUNNNNNNNNNNNNNNNNNNNNNNNNNNNNNNNNNNNNNNNNNNNNNNNNNNNNNNNNNNNNNNNNNNNNNNNNNNNNNNNNNNNNNNNNNNNNNNNNNNNNNNNNNNNNNNNNNNNNNNNNNNNNNNNNNNNNNNNNNNNNNNNNNNNNNNNNNNNNNNNNNNNNNNNNNNNNNNNNNNNNNNNNNNNNNNNNNNNNNNNNNNNNNNNNNNNNNNNNNNNNNNNNNNNNNNNNNNNNNNNNNNNNNNNNNNNNNNNNNNNNNNNNNNNNNNNNNNNNNNNNNNNNNNNNNNNNNNNNNNNNNNNNNNNNNNNNNNNNNNNNNNNNNNNNNNNNNNNNNNNNNNNNNNNNNNNNNNNNNNNNNNNNNNNNNNNNNNNNNNNNNNNNNNNNNNNNNNNNNNNNNNNNNNNNNNNNNNNNNNNNNNNNNNNNNNNNNNNNNNNNNNNNNNNNNNNNNNNNNNNNNNNNNNNNNNNNNNNNNNNNNNNNNNNNNNNNNNNNNNNNNNNNNNNNNNNNNNNNNNNNNNNNNNNNNNNNNNNNNNNNNNNNNNNNNNNNNNNNNNNNNNNNNNNNNNNNNNNNNNNNNNNNNNNNNNNNNNNNNNNNNNNNNNNNNNNNNNNNNNNNNNNNNNNNNNNNNNNNNNNNNNNNNNNNNNNNNNNNNNNNNNNNNNNNNNNNNNNNNNNNNNNNNNNNNNNNNNNNNNNNNNNNNNNNNNNNNNNNNNNNNNNNNNNNNNNNNNNNNNNNNNNNNNNNNNNNNNNNNNNNNNNNNNNNNNNNNNNNNNNNNNNNNNNNNNNNNNNNNNNNNNNNNNNNNNNNNNNNNNNNNNNNNNNNNNNNNNNNNNNNNNNNNNNNNNNNNNNNNNNNNNNNNNNNNNNNNNNNNNNNNNNNNNNNNNNNNNNNNNNNNNNNNNNNNNNNNNNNNNNNNNNNNNNNNNNNNNNNNNNNNNNNNNNNNNNNNNNNNNNNNNNNNNNNNNNNNNNNNNNNNNNNNNNNNNNNNNNNNNNNCAUUCUUAAAUCCUCUAAAUUUUUAUCUAUACAUCUGUACAUCCACCUGUGAUCAAAAAACUAUAAUUUAAAAUUUUUAUCAUCAUAAUAAAUAGAGUUUAAAGUAGGAGCAAUAGAACUAAUAUAUGUUAACCAAGAAUUACAUGAAAAUAAAGAAAUGAAAAUCUUUUUAAAAAUAAAUCAUAUAUCUCAAUGAAACAAAAAACUGUUUUUUUGUUUUUUUUUUUUUUGAAAAAAUCCAUUGUUUAUUUCUAUUGAUCCUAUAAAUCAUUGUAAAAAGAAAAGAAAAUAAGAAUGGGGAAAUUUAAGGGAGGAAAUAGAGUUUUGAAAAAGAAAUAUGAAUGAAAAAAAAUACUUUUAGAUGAAAAUUUUGAAGAAAUCUGAAAUGGAAAGAAGUAAAGAAAUGAGUUUUGGAUGGAAUUAUAUUAUGUUUUCAAUUCUACAUCAAGUAUCUUACAAUAUCUAUUACGUUUUCAAUUCUACAUUAAGUAUCUUAAAAUAUAAAUAAUUGACCUAGUUUUAUCCAUUUAUUUAAAUGGAUGUUUUUUAUUUGUUUAUUUAAUUUGAUAUUUAAAAAAUUGAAUUAAGAAUAAUAUUUUUAAGUCAUUAAACUAAAAUUUUUAAAUAGUAAUUCAUGCAUACUCUUAUCAAUUUCAACAAAUUUGAAUAUUUUAAAUGGAUUUGAAUAUACUAAAUAAAGUAACUAAUCACAUAUCCUUUUAUCCGUUAUCAAAGUAAUAUUUAAAUAUUUUAUUAUUAUUUAAUGAUUUACUUUAAAAGUUUUUUAUAUUUGAUUAUUUUGAUAAUAUAUAAUAUAAUUAUUUAUUAUUAUCCUAUGUAUCAUAAAAAAAACUAUCCACCUAAGGGUUCAUGUAAAUAAAUUUUAUCAGAUUUUUAUAUAUAUUGUAAUAUAAUAUUAUAUAUGGUUAACAAAAAAAUAUAAAUUAAAUAUUUUUAUUUAUAUUUGUAUUAAUCAUAUUAUUGUUUAUAUAACCAUUUCAACUUCCAAAAAUUUACUUUUAUAUAUAGUUAAUAGAAUGAAAUUUAGGGUAGAAGAUAAAAUUAGCAUUCAAACAUUUUAUUUCCUAUUUGGUUUUGAAUCUCUCUUCUUAAAAAAGUAUAAUUAAGUAUAAAUGUGAUUUUUAUGCAUUAUAUCACUUGUUUAUAAUAAUAGUGUAGAUACUUAAUUUUAAUCAAAAUUUUUUUAGUCAAUAUUUGUCAUCGGGCUUAUUUAAUUAAAACUCAAACUCAUUUUACAUGAGAUUUUGAAGUUUAGAUUUACAUCUGUGCAAAAUUGACUAAUUUUUAAAACUUUAUUGCUAAAUAUUUUUUAAUAAUUUAGAUUUUGAUUGGAUUGGAUUUAAUUUUAAAAUUUGAGAUUGAGUCCCAAAAUUUAAUAUUAUUUUUAGCAAAUGAUUUAAAGUUAAUAAUUUUAUUUUGAUUAAAGCAAUUAUUGUUUAUGAAUCUAGUUUUAUGUUUUUUUAUAAUGUGUCCCAUUUGUUCGACUCCGCUUUAAUAAAUUAUGAAAUGGAAAAAAAUAUUUACCAUUCGUUUGAGCGUCAAAUGCCAGGAUUAUGUUUUAGCAUCAACAUUUAAUUUUUAUAAUAUUAAUGUUGUAGCUUUUAGUAAAACCGAAAUUAUACCAAACCAUGGGGCAAGCUGAAAACUUAGCUUAUCUCAUUUUGUAACAGAAUCUAAUUACAAUUCAGUUGGUCAAUGGUUGAAUGAAAAAAAAAAAAAAGAAUGGUUGAUAUAAUUAAGUAAAAUAAGGUUCAUAUAUACUUUUAUUAAUUAGCUAGAUAGAUAGAUUUAGUAAAUGUUGUGACUCUAUUUUAUGAAAUGAGUUGUUUUAUUAUUAUUAUUUUUUAGCUUUUAGCAAUUAGAACAUUUAUGCUCGAAUUAUUUAUUUUUUCAGACAAUGUAAUAUAGAUGGAAAAGAUAAAUAUAUAUAUAUAUAAUGGUAAUUCAUCAAGUGCAAUGAUUUUUGUUAUAUUUAUGUCUAAAUCAUCCUAAUUAAAUAGUUGUGAGAUUUAUUUUAUCAUCAAAUCCAUAUAUUGUCCUACAUAUAAGAGAGUGUUCCACUAAAGAAAAAGUAAAACUCACACGUGUUAAAUUGAAGCAACUUGAGCACAUAAUUGAAGUUAUGUACUCAUCCUAUUUAUUGUCAAUUAAUUAGUUUUAAGUUAAAUGUUCAUUUAAAAUUUAAUAUAAUAUCAAAAUAAGUAUUUUCUUAUUCGUUAGCUUCUUUAUGAUAAAUUUAUUAUGCUUACAAUGUGAAAUUUAUGUCACAUGAUAAAGAUUAUUAUAUUUACAAACAUGAAGUUCAGGCCACAUGAUAAAUCCAUUAUGUUACACAUGAGAGAAAAUAUUAUACUUAAAAUAAAGUAAAUCUCACAUAUAUUAAAUUGGAAGUAUUUUGGACACAAAAGUAUAACAAUAAUCACUCUACUUGUUAUUAAUUGAUUUUAAAUUGGAUGUUCAUCUAAAACUUAAACAAAAAAAUUUAUUAUCUAAAAUUUAUAGUUACAUUAUAUAUUUUCUUUCUUUUCUGUUUAAUAUUUAAAGAAAAACAUUUUUCAUUUAGGUUCGAUCCGAUUGAUAUUUUGUUAUUUUAACAAAGUUUUCUACGAUAAACAUAAUAAAAGGUGAUUUGAGUUAAAGAAAAUUGUUAGGGGCUUUUGCAUGUAUUGUGUAAAAUUUUUUUUUUCUAAUUUUGAUUUAAAUAUAUCUCUUUUCAAAGAGAGAACUCGUAACAAAUAAGAGUAAACACUUUUUUUUUUGAAGUAAAAAGUAGACACAACUUUUCAUCACAUGUAACAUGUAAAUCCUGUGAGUUUUAUUAUUUUGAAUAUUUUCUAGCAGCUGGUAUACGCUUAUUUUGCUCUCCCUUAAGCAGGGAUAAGCACUACGCUCUUAUUUCGCUAAAUAUAAUAUAGCAUGGCUGAAAUGCCCUUCUCUUACGGAUUUUAAUCAGCAGCUCCAUUUAGUUAAAAUUGAUUGGGUAUUUAGGCUGCUUAUUUGGAAGAAACAGUCCCCAGUGUCUUUCAAUUUCGUCGCCCCGUUUGUUAUUCUCAUCAAACAUGGCAAAAAUAUAAGUUUCUAUAGGCUUUCCAGGCUUCUUUGGAGUACCUCCUUUCACAUGCUGGAUCAAAUUCUGGUUAUAAGUUCUUGCAUUAUCAAUAUUGGCUGCUGCCCGUGCCCCACCUCCAGCGGAUGGCCAUCCACUCUCCGACACAACAAUCUCCAAAGAAGCGCCACCAGCCUUGUCCAGGGCAGCGUAAACAGCAUCCAAGAUGGCAUCAAAAAGGUUACGGUAUUGCAAGGGAGGAUCUGAGACGACAGGAUUUUGAGAUCUGAACAGAGCAUAAUCCAGGUUGAUAGCCGGGUUGCCAUCGUAGCUGAAAUAGGGGUACAAGUUAACAAGUAAUGGGGCUUGGUUGUUCACCAGGAAGCGAAUGAUGGGAUCGAGAAGUGGCCUGUAUUCAGACCUAAAAGACCCCUUUGAUGGAGGAAAAGAUUCUCCCAGCGUCCCUGUGUCGAUUGCUGUGGAAACUUUGAUUUGGUUCCCUAGGCCAGCUGCAACAAUUGCAUUGCGAAUGUUUUGCAUGGCAGGGACUAGAAAUCGUGCCACCGGAUCCGAAGGUUUGACUUCAUUUCCAACAGCAAUGUAGCGGAAUUUAACGUUGCCAUAGUUUCUAACAUUGUUCUGGACCCAAGUGUUUGCAUUGGCUUGAUUGGCAGCGACACGCUGAAGAUCGGUAUUUGGAACCCCUAGCAUCAGCUCAAUGUUGGAGCCUCCGAGAGCUCGGAGAGCAGCUUGGUCUGGAUCAUAGAGUCUCAUUCUUCUGAUGUUUCUCUGGUUGAAGAGAGCUAUAACUUCUGGCCUUGGUGGUAAGUUGUUGCCAAGCAUUCCAUAACAAACACCUAUUUGAGCACCUGCAUUAGAUGUAACAAGAGCUUAAAAAUAAGAAUGUGUUACAUCAACAAAUUAUGCCACUAGUGCAACCAAACACAGGAAUAUGUCCACAAUAGCUAUUCCUUUCCAUAAACUAUAAUAACUAUUCCUUCAUAUUCCUACCUCAUUCUAUUAUUACAAAAUUUUAAGUUUUAUUCCAUUUAAUGUACCACACCUACUUUAAUAUAUGUGGAUUGAGCUCCUUUCUAUCAUUUUUGUGUUCAUUAUUUUUAGUGCACUUGUUAUUAUCAUCAUUCAUGUAGGAUUCAAUCAUGAAUAGUAGAAUCCAUACUUAUAAAUGUGAUUAAAAAUGAUUUUUUAGAUAACGAAGAAAACCGGAUUACUGGACCAUUAAUAUUAUUUAGAGAGAGAGAGAGAGAGAGAGAGAGAGAGAGAGAGAGAGUACUUGAGAUAUCUAGGGAUGCCAUUAGCAGGCCAAACAGCAGCAAUGUUGAAGCCAUAAAACCAAAGUUACCGGCUAAAUAGGAUUUCCCCAUGAGAGACAUAGAGAGACGGUACAAAAGAAAAGUGAAGAAUUGAAGGAAGGCCGAAACUCUAUUGCCAAAACCCCUACUUUCUAGACCUUAUAUAGACAUGAAAAGGAUCCCCACCACUUACAUUUUCCAAGUGAAUUAAUUGCUCCAUGGAAAAUUAUGUCACGGAAAAAGAAAAAAACAAAAUCUUCCACUAACACCAUCUAGAUUUCGUCAUUCAACUGGACCUUCUCUUAGUAACCUUCCAAAAGUCUUGGUCCUCAUAGAUCGGGAAAAUUCAACUGCGGCUUGUGCCAGUUCCUUUCGCACGAUAGUCAACUAGUCUUCUAAUUUAAUUCUGGCCUAUGGGUUCACAUUAAAAACGAAGGAGUAAAUUUUUUUUUUUUAUUGCUAUGCUUACACGAAUUACAUUAAUUCAUUUUGAGCCUUUCUACAAAUGGAAUUACUAUUAGCUAGCAAGUAGCUUACACAAAGUAACACCACUUUUUCUUUUAUUUAUUAUUAUUUAGGUAAGAGACCAACGAUCUUGAAUCUUCAAAUAAAAAGGACAAAUAUUAAACCUAAUAUUUGGAUAAAAUGACUCCAAUUUUUAUGUUCUUGACUUCCAUGACUAUGACGUGGAUAUGGGAAUUCUCCGACUUCUUUGACCAUAAUUUCGGCACAAAUUUCUAUGCACUAUUCAUAUACUGUUAGUAUAAUGAUUUGCAGUGUCAUGUAUUGUUAGUAUCGUAAUAUCACUGUUUGUACAAUUUAUAUCUAUCCAUUUGCAACAAUUUCAUUCGAGCAAAAUAAACAAAUAAAUAUAUUUACUUUUUACCAAAAUAAAUAAAAGAAAUACAUCCGUAUAAUUUCCACUAUAUUGAUUUAGUUGCUUUUUUUAAUGGUAGAAAGCUUUGAAAGGUUAGUUUUUCAAGCAAAUAUUUCUUUGUAUGAAAUGAAAAUUUUUAAAACCUUUUCCGAAAUUAAAUUAUACAUAAAAUCUAAUAUCAAUGGGCUUGCACAUGAUCAAUGAAACCAAUUUCAGUAGAUUUGAUCAAAAUUUUAUUAAUUUUUAUAUAUUUUUAAUUUGUUUAUUAAAAUUUGAUACAUGAUAUGAUAUAAUAAUUAUAUCAUAUAUGUUGAAACAAGAACACAUUAUCUAUAAUGAGUAUAUUACAAUUAAUCAAUUACAAUUCAAAAUUAUACGAGGAUGAUUAAAAUUUUAUAUAAAAUUCACACUUAUAAAUAAUAAACUCUUACAUAAUUUUUUAUUAUGAUUAGAUAAUUAUAAUAUUAUAAUAAAUAAUUAUAGGUAGAAUACUCCAAAUUGAAAUUGUUUGAUAAUAUAUGAUAUAAUAAUAUAUGUUUUUACUUAUAAAUAUAAUUUUUUUCUAUGAAAUUAAAAGUAUAAGUUAUAAUUAUGAUAAGUAUGAAAAGGAAUCCAUUUAUACUAGAUAACUCUUACACUUUUUUGAACUCUUGAAUCAAAAUUAUUAAAUUUAAAAAUAUUAUUUUCAUUUAAAUGAGUCAUACAUUUAAUUUUGAUAAAAAAAACUCAAAAAAAAUUACACUAAUAUAAAUGAAUAUUCACUCAUCAAAUAUUACGUAAUUAAAAAAAUUCAACAUAAUAUUGAAAUAAAUUCACACAAUAUAAUUUGGAUCUAAAAUUUUAAAAUUCUAAAAUCUUUUUCUUACUACUAAAUCAAAAACUCAUUGGCCGCUUGUAAAUAUAAUCUUAUAAAAUCUUAAAAUUCUAAAACAUUUUCCUUACUAUUAAAUCAAGAACUGAUUGGCCGCUUGUAAAUAUAAUCUGGUACUAGCCUAAGGGGCUAUGAAUAGGCAAAGGAUGUGUCUCAAGGAGCGCCAUGCAACUUGAGUGCCUAACCGUCUCACUCGACCGAGCUAGUAUUGAUAAGACCCCAAGAUUAUUCACUUCGAUGCAUACUAAGUCAAGAAUUUAUUUUCUAUAAUUUUUUAAAGAAUUUUUAAACUCCACAAAAUGGAGUUAAAAAAUUGAUAAAUGUAUCUUUUUUGUUACAUUAAUUUUUUAAUUAUUUUGAAUAUAUCUUAAAAAUAUGUCAAUUCUUUUAUACAAAAAAAGUUAUAAACUAGAAAUGAGAAAAAUAUUUAUAAGUGCUAAAAUUUGAACUUUAGAUCUAUUGGAUACCAACUCUUAAAAAUAAUUAUAUAAAUCAAUCGAAUUAAGUUUCAAGUUCUAUGUAUUAUUUUGCUAAUCUCUCUUAAAGAGUUUAAAAACUUUAUUGGUGGUGAAUGAAAUAAUUUUUCAUUAAGUUAAUUCCUUGCUUUUUUAAACUACUGAUAUAUGAUAGAUUGAUAUUUAAAUCUAUUAGCAUGAUUUUGAGCUUAACAUUUAGAGGUUACGAGUUUAAAAAAGCAUAUACGUGUAAUGUUCAAUAUAAGAGUAAGGGGUUUAAGGGUAGAUUAAAAAUUUUUUUAAAAAAAAUACAAGUGCAUGAUUAUGUGCCAGCUCACACAAUAAAUAUGUAAUUUUUUAAAAAUGUGUUAAUAAUAUAUUUUUACAUUAUAAUUAUAAAAUAUAAAUAAUUUUUUAAUUAAUAAAUGAUUUAUCAAUAUAAUUUUACAUCCUUUAAUAUUAUAAAAAUUAACUGUGUAAAAUUUAAAAAAUCUCGUGUUAAAACAAAAUAUUAAUUAUAAAGUCAAAAUUUUCAUCAAAAUAAAUUAAAAUAUGAAAAAAGUAUUAACCAAUCUUGAAUAUCUUUAUAGACAUUCUAUUUUGUCUGAAAUUUUUUUAAAAUUUAUUGGGCCUUGAUUUUUUAUUUUGAUUGUGCAAUUGGGUUUAAUCAAAAAAAUAAUUUUUGGACCUAAAGAUUAAGUCAUAAAUUUUAUUUAUAUUUUAUUUUUUUAGUCAAAAGAGUCUAAGUCAAUUGGUAAAAAAUAAAAAAAUAAAAAAAGAGUAAAAAAUAAAUUAAAAAAAAAGUGAGAUUUUGCAUGAAAAAUCUUGGAUUCAAUUCAACUCUUGGAUUCUAUCUCAAAUUUCAACUUUAAUGAUUGAAUAAUUUUAAAAGAACUUUGAGCUUAAUCUAUUGAAAAAUAAAAAAUAGAAAUCUUAGAUUCAGUUGAAUUAAUUUUUUUCACAUUGAAAGGAAUUCAAUCUUUAUAUAAGGACCUUAAAUCUAAGAUCAAAGUAGGGGGCCUUACAGUAAUUGACUUCAAAAUCAAACAAAAGGUCAUUGAAAAGAGAGAAAAUUUGGGCAAAGUUUUGAAUCAAUAAGGAAGAAGCAAUCAAGCAAAAAAAUUUUACAAGAAGAUCAAAUUGGAGUUUUUGAAAGGAAGACUAAGAUUUAUAAUAGGAAGUAUUAGUUUUUUAAAGGUAAAAAAUUGUUGAAACAUGUGAUCCAUUGAAGUAAUACUUGCAUUCUUUUUUUUUUUUUGUGAUUUUUACAUAACUUUUAUAAUAUUUAAUUGCUUACUUUUAUUUAAUAUUUAUUACAUGGUAUUCAUUUUUGCAUGAAUUUGCAUGACUAAUAUUAUAUUUGCAUGAUAAUUUAUUUGCUUAAUAUUUUAUUUGUAUGAAUUGAAUCUAUUUGUGUAAUUUAUUAAUAUAUUUGCGUGAUAUUACUUUUACUGAUUAUUUAUUUGCAUGGAUUAUCAAUUUAUUAUUUGUGUGAUUGCAUGUUAUUUGUUAUUUGAUUCAUAUCUUUAGUAGCUUUUUUUAUAUUGUUAAUUGCAUGAUUAUAUAUUUAUUGCAAGUUUUAUAUUGUUAAUUGCAAUGAUAAUAUAUUUGCAUGAUUUAUAUUGUUAAUUGCAUGAUUAUAUAUAUUUGCAUGAUUUAUAUUGUUAAUUGCAUUAUUAUAUAUUUAUUUGGUGAUUUUUAUUGUUAAUUUCAUGAUUAUACAUUUAAUUGCAUGUCUAUUUGCAUGAUUAUUAAUUUAUUUAUUUGUGUGAUUGUAUGAUUAUUAAUAUAUUUAUUUCCAUGAUUAUUAUUAUUAUUGCAUGAUUUUAUAUUUAUUGCAUAAUAUGAUAUUGUAUUAAUUUUAAAAUGAUAUCUAAUUGCAUAUUUUUAUAUUACUAACAUAUUUGUGAGAUUAUAUUUGAUUUGCAUAUUUAUAUUAUUGUUAUUAUUGCAUGAUAAUUAAUAUAUUUGCAUCAAAUUCUUGCAUGAAUAUUUAGCAUGAUCUAGGCAUGAUAUUAUUACAUGCUAUGAUAUGAUUUAUAAUAUAAUUGCAUGAUAAUUUUGUUGGUAAUGAUUUAAUAUUUAUUAUAUGAUUGCCUAAUAUUUGAAAAGAAUUUUGCCAUCCAUGUUUUGUAAAUAAAUAAAAGGAUUAGAAUUUAUUUAUUUGGAUGAUAAAAAACCCCAUAUUUGAUUAAGGCUUAGAUAAGAUAACACAUGAUUAAUGUGGUACUAAUUUAGGCAUAAAAGGGUGCUAAAUACCUUCUUUACAUGUAAAUCGAACUCUCGAACUUUAAUUUUGAUAAUGUAAGACCUAGAAUCUAUUCUUUUAGGGAUCUUAAUUUACAUGUAGGACAACCUUAAAGAGGAAUAUAUGUCCACAUUGGUGCCAAUCAAAUAUAAAUAAAAAGAUUGGUAGGCAACUCCAAUAGUUUUUAUGUUUAAUGGGAUGGAUUCUCCCAACCUAAACCAAUAUCAAUAGAAAACUUUUUUUUAUUUUUUUUAAUUGAAUGACAUACAAAACAACAAAUUAGUUGCAAAGAUUGAUUUAACGAAUUCAAGUACUACUCUUAACUUCAUAUACCAAUAAAUCAUGAUUAUAAGAAUUAAAAAUUAAAAAAUGUAUUGCAAUAUUCAUUAAAAUAAAAAAAAAAUGACUUCCUUGAAAAAAAUCACUUUCUAUUAUAUAAAAUUGUUUGAAAAAAUGAUUUGAAGAACUAUUACUUGUUACAUAAAAAAUAAACAUAUAUUCUAGCCCAAACUGAUUUAAAAAAGUUACUUGUAGAAUCUAAGAUUUAAAAAUUUAUGAACUCUAAUCACUGAGAUAAUUUGAAAACAACGUUAACCAAUAUAUAUAUAUGGCAUGAGAUUUAAUUAUUUAUAAACUCUAAUUAACUUUAUCUGAUAAAUUAACCUUAAAGAAUCAUUAUUUAAAAAUUAUAAUCUAAUUAUAAUAAUUUAUUAUCAUUAAAACCCUUUUUCUAUCUACAAAAUUAAUUUCAUUACUAAAAUUUAAAAUUAUAACACAAGAAAUUAAUUUAAAAUGAAAAAUGAAAAAUUUAAUGAAUAAUGUAUGUUUUUUCAAUUUAAAAGUUUUUUGUGUCUAUGUUUAUAAAUAAUAAUAAAAAACAAAAAAAAAAUACAAUCCAAUCUAUGUGCAUUUAAAGAAGAUAGAAUUUUAGAUAGACAGAGAAUUUUUGUUGGGAUCAAUCAUGUUAUUAGGAAAAUUAUUGGUUGGUAUUUUAACAAUUAUUGAUGACUUAAGAAAGUCAUGACGGUCAAGUGAUAACUGAUAUCGUUUAGUAUUAUAAAUAGGACUAAGGAUGAGGCUGCUUGACUUGGGAAGGGAUUAAGGUCAAAUUAAUUAUUAUUUAAGAGUCAAGAUUAAUUUAGUUAGGUUAAAUUUGUAAUUAGCUUACAUAUUAUUUUGAAAAUGCGGAUUUAGUUAUGUACAAUAAUUUGUUAAAAUCGAAUUCCUUUAUUUUUUGGAUUAUAAAUUUUAAUUAAAUUGUGUUAAGGGCAUCUAAUGGUCAAAAGGGGCAUAGUGAUAAUUUCUCUUCUCAAAGCCUUCAGUAGACAAUCAAAAGUAUCUUAGUCAUUUGUGCCGAUCUAACAUAUUAGGUCAGUCUGACAUUUUCAGUGCCACCUUAGCUCAGCCUUGUCCUAAUUAUACCAUUUUUAUCCUUUUCAACUUACUUAUAAAUAUGAAAACUCAAGUACCAUGAAGCCAAGUUCAUCCCAUUCAUUUUUCUCUCUCUUCAAUGCUUUCUUAUCAACCUAAUAUUUACUGACUUACAUGUCAUAGUGCAAACACAGGGAACACCUUCUGCCUUUGCCUCUAAGUAUCAUUUUUUUUUACAUUUACAAAAAUACCCUCAGGUUGGAGCUCGGCACCAACAUUUUACACGUUAGAUAGAGGACACAUCUUAUAUUAGCCGAGCAUAAAACAACACCACUAAGAAAAAGAACCCAAAAGAAAGGAAAGGUAGUUGCCUAAAUUUGAAUAGAAACUUACUAAAACCAGCAUUCUAUUUGCCUAGCUCAAUUAUAGGUGAAACCAACCAUAAAACAAUUUCAAGCCCUGACAGAACAAAAUACAAGCUUUCAAGCAAAUGCUAAAAACUAUAACCCCACCACAAGUCUCCAAAGUUCUAGAUUUAGUCACAUUGGGCCGAGAAGUUGUUGUCUGCAAUCGAGUUACGAAAAGGUGGAGCCUUUUCGACCUUUAGAAAAGAAGAACACACCAACCCAACUCAUCACCACCAUAGCUAUAAUUCUACACAUACCACAACCAUAAGUCUAAACAGACCAUGAACUUUAAAUGAAUAGAGAUUUUGAAGCUCAGAUGCAAGCCAUGAAAAAAGAGCUGAAAACAAAAACAGUAGCAUUUAAGGAUGAGCUUAAGUUUCUGAAGACUUUACCCUUUAUUGAAGAAAUUGACAGAGCCAUGCCUCUCAAAGAUUUAAAAUGCCAACUUUGGAGACAUAUAAUGAUACUUUUGACCCCUUUUGAUCAUUUGAAACUGUAUAGAAAUAGCAUAAUGAUACAUAAGGCAAAUGAUACAUGAGGCAAAGGUCUGACCACUACGCUAAAAAGCACAGCUCGAUCUUGGUAUAGCAAUUUGAAGCCAAGAUCGAUCACUACAUUUAAAGAGCUCAGCUACCCAUUUUUGUCUAGAUUUGUAAGUAGCCAAAGAGCUAAGAAAAUGACCUUAAACCUAAAGUUAAUUCACCAAAGGCGGAAUAAAACUCUAAAAAGCUAUGUCAAGCUUUUUAACACAAAAGCUCUACAUGUUAAAGAGCUAGAAUAGAUAAUCAUUGUUAUCGCACCGACUAAUAGACUCAAUGAUAAUGAGCACCAUUUAAAGUUGACAUUAUUGCUAGAACCUCCAAAAACUCUGGUCAACAUCCUGAUAAUAGUAGAAAAAUACAUUAACGUUGAAGCUACAAUGAAGUCAAAUUGAGGUGAAAAAGGCUUAUCCUCUUUUUUCGACGAUCGAGGUGAAAGAGGCUCAUUUCCUUUUUUUGGUCAUUAAAAAAGGUAAAAAAUUCUAUGAUCUUCUCCCAAGAGGGAGACAACAUAAGCUUAAAAGCCCUUGUGAAGAAAAAAGCUACACUGUAUUAAAUACCUCCUAUGAGAAGAUUCUAAUGCAAAUCAAAAGAAAUUUUGACCUUAGAUGGCCUAAGCCAUUGAAACAAAACAUAAGGCGAGAUCAUACAAAAAGAUGUGCCUUUCAUCAGGACAUCGGCCAUAAUAACGAAGAUUAUGUCAAACUAACAAAUGAGAUUGAAACUUUGAUAAGGCGAAGUCAGUUAAAAAGAUUUAUGGGAUAGAAAAGAAAAGACCAAUUUAGAAGGGACUAUAAAAAUAACCACAAAGUGCCCACCCUAGGUAAAAAGAGAAGAGCAGAUAAGGGAAUAUGGGAUGCCCGAGCAAAAGAAUUGAAUUAGAAAGAGGGUCGAGUUAAUAAUAGCAGGCUAAUCAAUCGAGCGUAAUUAACGUUGAUCGUAGAAAAUAGCUCUACUUUUCAAAAAAAAAAAGUUUAACUUGGGCAUGGUAAAAGUAGUAUACACCUUGAUUAGAAAAAAAAAAGAUUGAAAAAUGAGCCGAUCUCAUUCCAGCUCAGAUAAUCUAGAAGGGAUCCAACACCCAGCAUGAUGAUACCAUAGUGAUCCACAGCCUUAAGUAAUUGAACUAUGUGGUCAAAAUAAUCCUAUUUGACUGAUGGGAGUUUGACUCGACAUUCUGUUACUUAUUAUUAAUUUCAAAAAAAAUAGGAUUGGUAAAGAUCAGUUAAAGCUGAUCACCACAACAUUAGUGGGGUUUAGAAAUAAGUAAGUGCCUGUAAGAAGAACUAUCAAGCUUUUAAUCUCCUCAAGGAUAGAAUCGAAGAUGAUUACCUCUAUCAUGGAGCUUAUAGUAAUAGAUAUCCCAUCUGCCUACAGCAUGAUAUUAAACUGACUAGCCAAUUUGUUAUGCGGUUCAUAGGUUCAGCUCGCUAUUUGAAAGUGAAAUUUUCAGCACUUACAAGGGUUGAAAAAGUUCGAAGAGACAAGUCCAUGACACAAUAAUGUUAUGUCAUAACAAUGAAGGGUAGAACUAGGAAGUAGACAGGUAGCUCAGCCAAUACUAAGGUGGAAAACAAAGAUGAACCAACAUAGAGAACUAGCAAAAAGAUAAAAACCACUGACAAGAACAUAGAAUGUAAGAUUAAUCUGGUAGAAAUGCACUUUUAAGUUACUCUAAGCUCCUAAGCUCUACAAAAAUUUAAUUUUAUUCUAUUUUUAAAAUUUUUUGAAGUAAUAAUAGAAAUAAUUGAGCUCCUAAGUUGUUGUAAAUUUUGAUGUUAUUUGAAUCAAGCUAACACAUCAAUCAAAAUACAACAUUAAAUGAAGAAUAUACUUCACUUAUACUAAUACAUUUAACAAGUUGUUUAAUAUACUAAUCAUCACAUUAGGAUCUAUUUUUGUAAGAAAUGAUCUCGACCUAAGAGAAAAAAAAGAGAUAAUCGAUCAAAGACUGAACUCAAAUGUAAAUUGACCCAAGCCGACUGAAUACCUCAUAACAAUUCCAUUCUGGAACAAUAUUCCUAAAAAAUACAUGUAGAUUGGAGCCAAGCUUCAGCAUAAAGACCAAUUGAUUCAUCUCAUUAAAGAUAAUACUGACAUGUUUACUUGGACAUUGUCUAAUAUGCCCAGAAUUGAUAUCGAAAUAAUGGUCCACAGACUACAUACGAAUCCUGAGGUCAAACCAUUUAGCAAAAGAAAAAAACUUUUACCCUUGAAAGAUAACAAGCUAUUAAGGAAAAUGUUGACAAAUUAUUACAAGCUGACUUUAUCAGAAAGGUCUACUACCCUAAUUAGAUAACCAAUAUGGUCAUGGUUAAAAAGCAUAAAUAAAAAUGAAGAAUGUGUAUGAACUUUACUGACUUGAAAAAAGCUUGUCUGAAAGAUAACUUCUCCCUCCAUUGCAUAGAUUGAUUAGUAGAUAAUAGUGCUGAGCAUAGCCUCAUCAACUUCUUGGAUGCUUAUUCUGGUUACAAUCAGAGCAAAAUAUUGAAAGAUGAUGAGGAUAAAAUAACUUUUAUUAUUGAGAAAAGCCUUUAUUGCUAUAAAGUCAUACAUUUUGAAUUGAAGAAUACAGGGGUGAUAUAUCAAAGAUUGGAGAAUAAGGUGUUCAAAAACCAAAUCGGUGGCAAUAUGGAGGUAUAUGUAAACGACAUAAUAGUCAUGAUAGUCAAGAGCAAGAGUUUAUCUAGAAGACCUAAAAGAAACCUUCAAUACUUUGAAAAAGUAUGACAUGAGACUUAACCCAAGUAAAUGUGCUUUUAGGGUUACAUCAAGCAAGUUCUUCAGUUACAUGAUCAACCAAAGAGGAUAAAGAUGAACCCUAAGAAGGUUUAGGUAAUCCUAGAAAUGAAGAUGCCAUUUUCAAUAAAAGAGGUGCAAAGGUUAAUAGACAGAAUAGCUCACUCAAUUGAUUUAUGUCCUGAUCGAUAGAACAAUGUCUAUUAUUCUUCAAAACUCUUAUGAAUGUCUCUGACUUCAGAUGGACUCCCCAAUGCUAAAAAGCUUUUAAUGAACUCAAAGAGUUCUUAGUCCUAUCUAAAUUGAGGACUAGGGAAACACUAUACUUGUACUUGACCAACAUAAAUCAAGCUAUCAGCUAGAUUCUAAUUUGAGAAAAAGAGGAAAAAUAAUGGCUGGUUUUUUUGUAAGCAAAGUAUUAAUAGGGCUUGAAGUUAACUAUAAUUAUAUAGAGAAAUUGACUUAUGCCUUGGUCACCUCAGUUACGAAACUCAAGCCAUACUUUCAGGCCCACACGAUCUAUAUCCUAAUUGAUCAACUACUAAGAUAAGUUUUACAAAAACCUGAAAUGUCAGAAAGGCUAAUCAAAUGAGCAAUAGAGCUUAGCGAAUUUGAUCUACACUUUUUACACAUAUUGGCAUUAAAAUUACAAGUAGUGGCAUACUUCAUAGUAGAGUGCACCUCGGUACAAUUGAAAACACAGCCUAAAAAAAAGAAAAAAUUUUCAUAUAAGGAUGAUUAGAAGCUCUAUGUCAACGAAUCUGCUACGAGCCAAGGCAAAGAAGUCAAUCUCAUUCUAGUCAGUUCAUGAGGGUUACAGUACCCGUACACCUUGAGAUUUAAGUUUAGGAUUUCUAACAAUGAAGCAAAAUAUGAGGUAUUGAUAGUCGGCCUAAAGUUGGCAAUCGAGCUAAAUGUUCAGUGUAUAAUCGCUUAUAAUGACUCCCAACUUAUGGUCGAUCAAGUAAUUGGGAGUUUAGAGUUUGAAAAGAUAGAAUUCAAAAAUACCACAAUAAAGCACUAACCUUAAUAGCUAGCUUCAAAAAAGUCAAGGUGAAAAAGAUACCAAGGUCAAAAAUUCAAUAACAAACUCCCUAUUUAAUUUGGCUUCAAUAGCAGUAACAGAAAGCCCAGGCCAAGUUUUAGUAGAAAAACUAGUGCAUAAAAGCAUCGAGGACAAGCUUAUGAGAUAGGUCAUAAAAAAAAAAACUAGGAUAAUACCAAGUAAAUCAUACUUGACCAUGAGAGUGUUACCCGACGAAAAAGCUCAAACUAAGGCACUGAUGAAAAAUCUCUUUCGAUACAUAAUGAUAAAAAAAAAAUUAUACAGGAGAUCCUUUAACCUACCUUACUUGAGAUGUGUUGAUGAAAAAAAGGCAGAGUACAUCCUAAGAUAAAUCCAUGAAGAAAUAUGAGGAAAUCACCUCAAACUCAAUCUUUGGCUUAUAAAGUGCUUAGGUAAGGUUAUUACUGGCCCACCAUUAGGAGGGGUGCAACUGAACUGGUGAAAAAAUGUGACAAAUAUCAAAGAUUUGCCCAUGUGCAACAUCUUCGAUAAACUAAGCUUACUCGUAUCAUCAGCCCGUGGUCAUUCAUGCAAUGAGAGAUUGAUGUCUUCGAACCAUUCACCUCAAUUAUAGGCUAAAAGAUAUUCAUCUUAGUGGCAAUAAAUUACUUUACAAAAUGGUUGAAAGCCAAAACCUUAACCGCUACCACAAAAACACAAGUUAAAAAGUUUUUAUGGAAAAAUAUAGUAUAUAGAUUAUGAUUACCUCGAUCUAUAAUAAUAGAUAAUGACAAACAAUUCGAUAAUCUGAGGUUCAGGGAAUGGUGCUUAUAUCUUCAUAUUGACCUCAGGUUCACAUCAGUUGCCCACCCUCAAUCCAACAGGCAGGUCGAAGUUGUAUAUAAGACAAUAUUAGAAGCUUUGAAAAAAAGGCAAUGCAACAAAAAAAAAAUAGGCCGACUAAAGAGGUGCCUACCGAUGAAACCCUCUUUCACUUGGCAUUUGGGAUAGAGAUCGUAGUGUCAGUUAAGAUCGACCUACCAAGCUUAAGAGUUGAAUUGGUGUCAAAAGAAAAAAAUAAAAAAAUGUUUAAGGCCGACCUUAACUUCGUCGAAAAACAAAAAGACAUAGUCCUGACCCGAAUUACAACUUACCAAUAAAAAGUAGUCAGUUAUUAUAAUAAAAAGGUCUUACGUAAACAUAUCAAGUAGGGCAACCUGGUACUAAAAAAGUUAAAGCUUCAAGGAUAAAUGAUCGAGGUGACAAAUUGGCCCAAACGUGGAAAGAACCAUUUUUUGUUAAGGAAGUUGUUCACGAUGUAAACUACAAAUUAUAGAAUCUGAAUGGCAACGUCAUAUCAAGGACGUGAAACACAGACAACCUAAAGGUUUAUUAUCAGUAGCUCUAUAUAAACUAUGCUCACACUUUUACUAUUUUGUAAAUGGCACUACUACUUUAAGUAUGUGAAAUACAAAUCAACUUUAUUACUUGUAGAUCAGAGCAAAUCAAGCUCACACUUGCAUUAUUUUGCACACGAACACAUAAAUUAAAUUAUCUUCAAUAAACUUACCUUUAAGUGAUUCAAAGAAAUCUGACUUAGAAGUUGUAAUUAUGUUCGUUUGAUCAAAGUAGUCCAAAUUAUUUACUUUUAGAUCAGUUACCCAUUCUCAAACUUAUGCAAGUAAAAAAGAAAUGAUGAUAAAGCUAAGCUAAAACUUUAAAAAUUCUCUUUUCUAUUUCUUUAUAAAAAGAUACAUCAGUUAAAGUAUAAGAGGCCUUUACAAAAAGUUGACUCGAAGUCAAAAGUUUAAAAAAUCAAAACAAAAAAAUUACAAAAAUCAUUCAUCAGUAAUAGCAACAACGGAAGAAGUACUCUCAUCAGCAAGAGUAUGAGGGAUGACCUCAGCUUUGAUAACUUCUACAUCUUCUUUCUUUGUCCCCAUGGUGGCCCUCAACUCUUCCUUCAAAGCCUUGUCUUUACCCUUAUCUUCAUUUUCCUCAUCCUCAUUGGACUAAUUUUAAUAAGGCCUCACUCUGAUAUUAUUGAUGUCAAUAUUAAAGAAGUUAAGGUUGAGAGAGGAGAAUUUGAACUUUACCUCUUUCUUGGCCAAUUAAAAGGUACCAAGAAUAUUUUUUUUGAAGAAUUCUACCUUUAUUUGAAAACACUUAUCGAAAGCUUUAUACUUCUUCAUAGCCUUAAUCUGUAGCUUUUCAUCCCUCUUAUCCUGAGCUUUCAGCUCAGACCUCAACCUUGCAAUUUUAACCUAAGCAUCAUUUAGUUUAAGCUUGACCUACUCCUUCAUCAAUUUAACUAAAUCCUUGUCUACCAAGAUAGCCUUCAGCUUCAUUGUUAGUUCAUUUACCUUUCUCCUCAGCUCAACCUCUUUCUUAUGGGACAUGCUAAUUCUUGAUUUGAUAUUACCUAAUGCUUUCGAGCUCUUUUUAUGCUACUUGACAAAGGCAACCAUAUCUCUCUUAACCCUCAGUAUAUGCCUUAUAACAAGAUAAGCUUGAUGAAAGGCUUGACUGUUCUUUUUCAUAGGCUGAAGUGGGAAUUUCUUUUGGACUACAUGAAAAGACCUUAGAUUUAAAAAAAUAAAAAUAAAAACAGUAAUAAAAAACUAAGCUGAGGUAAGGAGAUACUCACCAAGAAAAGGAAUUGUGACCUUACAAAAUCUUUUAGCAAUGUUAAAGAUAUAGACGAGGUCUUUCAUUGGAGUAAACUCUAACCCCAUGGAUAUCCUUUCCGAGCUAGGCUUUAACACCCUAGUUUUGGGGUUUUUAAGAACAAAUAACAAGAUCUCCACCCGUGAUCUUUUGGCUGGAAUGGGUGGUAUCAACACCGAGGUGAAGGAUAGGUCUCGACUUACCUUAACUUUAGAUUUUUACUUGAAAGAGUGUGAUGUAUAGCUAUACUGAUCGCUUUAUCUCUUUCACAUGAUAAAGCCCCAAGUAAAAUCAUUUUUCCCUCUUUUGGGCUUUAGGGCUUGUUGGUAUUAAGAGAUGUCAAAAUCCUUCUCGACUUUAGUUAUAUCUACAAAACUGAGCUAAUAGUUAAAAAAUUAAUUUAAAAUAAAACCCUAUGAAGUUACCUCAAAUCUACCCUAAUACUUUAUCUUGUUUAUUACUUCUAGGCAGGUCAAUCCAUGAGCAUCGAUAACGAGCUUCCACUACAUAUAAAAUCUAAAAUUUUAUCUUAAUCUGUCAGAUCAGAUAUCGAAAAGGCCACUUGUGUGUCCAUAAAAGAGUCGGAUGUACUUUUUAUUUACCAAGCCUUCAUAUUGAGCUCACCAUCUUUAUUAGUUUUUUGUUUCUCAAGGCAUAAGAAGAGCAACUUCUAAUUCUUUAUUAAGUAUGGACAAUCGGUGAGUAGUUUUUUAUUUGAUAAAGCAGUGAUAUAAAACUAUCUACUAUAACUAAAAUAUUUUUUAAGAGAAAAAAACUCUCUAAAUAGAGAAAAAAAAGAAUAAUAUUCAAUCAUCAAUAAAAGAAUAAUAAAAGUAAUUAUGUACUGAAUAGAAUAUGGGGUGAGCUGAGUAAUAGUCAAAUUGUAAGAAUUAAAAAUUAAAAUAAAUAAAAAAUAAAAUGGAAACUUUAAAUUGACCACAAAUGAAUCCUAAUAUACAUGAAGUCGAUGUGGCUGUAGUCUAUUUGUAACCCAGUCUGAAAAGUUUGGUGUUAUUAUACUGUACCUUUUUUUGGCAAAAAGGAAAGUGGUACCCAGAGCUUAAACGUGAUGAGCUAAGUACAUGUUAGAAUAGCCUUUAGUAUUUGCUCAGCCUUUUAGCUCACUCAUCACAUUCUUGAGGAUCAUGUUGAGGUCACAUGGAGUAUAUACAGGGACCUCAAUAAGUUCAUCCUACUCUAUAGGACUUUUUCCUUCACCCUCAUUUUUUUUUAACUAAGGUGCUUUCUUCUUCUUAUCCCUUAUUGAAACCCCCAUCGUCAGAAGAAUCUAACUCUUGGGUGGAAGAUGGAUCCAGAGAAUGAAUAGUAGAUGAAAGUAACUCGAUCCUAGAGAAAGAAAGAUAAGAUGAAGACCCCUCAAAAAAGGACAAGAUGUUAAGAAAAAUUGAUUAAAAGAGGAAAGUAAAAAUGACAGGAGGUAGAAGAGAUUAAACCAUAGAAAUAGGAAUACUUAAAGGGAGGAAAGGUCAACCAUAGAAAAUGGACCAACCUGAGAGAUAGAGAAAGCAAGUGGAUUUUAAAAUUUGAAGUUGAUUUGAACACACAACUCUUCAAUGCUUAAAACUCGCCCGCCUCUUACCCAAGCAUUCUUUUCAUUGCACCGCUACCCUCCUUUGAACAUCGAAUUAAACCAAUAAGCCAUUUUGUAUAGUUAUGGCCUAUAAUAAUAUGGGAGAUCAAGUUAUCAUCCUACUGCUCUUGCUGACCUCCUCUUAGCUCUAUCCCUUUAGAACUUAUACUAAAAGAUAUGGUUAGAAAUAUGUAAUGAAAUGAGUGUAAAAAAAAUUUUGAAGGUAAGAAAACUAUUGAUAUAAAAAAUUUUAGGUCAGAUUAAAAGCAAAGAAAGCGAAAGAUGAAGAGCUGAAUCCCUACCAGCCUUUUUAUAUAAAUGCACUUCAGCUUGAAAGAAUGGCACGAUCCAUUCCAUGUGUCAGACCAUAUGUGAAUAGAUGUAUUUUUGUCUUUCUAAUUUAAAUCUUAUCGUUUAAAACAUCUUUCUCUUCAUUUAAUGUCAUCAGACUGACCUAAUUGGAUGAACUCCAAAUUAGACCAAUUGAAUUGGACAAUUGUCAAAGGUACACUGAGAGUCCGAUUCACUUUUAGGUGUCAUAAUAUAUAGAUCCAUAAAUCUAUAGCUAGACUUCAUAAAUGGAGUCGCCACCAAUCUUUUUUAUUUAAAUGCGAUUGGUCACUUAACCGAAUCUGUCCUUUUUAAAGAAAAAUCCUAAGUUUGGCUUUGGUAUUUUUAAAAGGUAGAUUCAAUGUCUAUGAAACCAGAACUUACAACGCCCAUCAAAAGAUAGUACCAGCUCAAUUUCGUGUUAUCUGAUAAGCCUUAAAACUUUUAUCAAGUAAUUAAUUGCUAAAAAUUAUUCUUAAUUAACUCCAAUACUUUUGGUAAAAAAUUAAGAAAAGUUUUCUCACCUUAAAAGUAUACAAGAAAACUACUAUUUCUCUUGCAGAGGCUCAAUUGUCCGAUUAUUUAACAUUGAAAAAUUUUCUAAGAAAAAAAAAAGACAAAAAAAAAUGAAUGAUGAUUCGACUUUUGAUAUAGAUCUCUUUUUUGUUUUAUAAGAAAAAACUCAUGCUUUAUACAAGAAAAAUUGAUACUUUCAACUUUUUCUUAAAAUUUUUUUUUUUUAUUUUAAGAAAAUCAUUGAAAAAUUAAUGAAUGCUUACUUAAAUAAAUAAGCAAUAAUAAUAAUAAUAAUAAUAAUAAUAAUAAUAUCUUGAUGCAGCUCGGCUUAGCUAGAAAAGGUGCGACUUUAGAGGCAGAUAUGGCUAGACUAGCUUGGUGUGCAACUCGACUUAAUGGCUUGCCAAAGGUUGAAGGAAGCAGGUAAAUGGGAUAUGCGCUACGGGUCGAUGCGCCCAGUGACAAAAUGCAUAGAUUUUGAGAAAUUACUUAACUCCAAAACGACGUCGUUUCAGGGCCUUAUAUAAGGCCAAAUUCGAUCUUUUUUAACAGAUUUCUCCUCCUCUUUCUCUCUUUUCCGCUUUUUUUUCUCUCUUUUUCUCUCUAGGAUUCAAGAAUACUAGUUGAAUCUUUCAUCGAAUUCUGGGAUUGUCACCAAAAUCUGGGUAGGGUCGUCGAAAGUUUGCCAGAAAGUUCAAUGAUUUCUGGAGUGUGACACCAAAAACUAGGGAACUGGUCAAAAACUAGAAAGUUCACCAAAAUCUCGUUGAAAAAUUUAAAUGGCGCCAAAAAUCUUAAAAAUUCUAGAACUGCCUCUAUUCUUCUAAACACCUUUUUUUGCUUCUGUUUUCUGUCUUUUUACUUUUUGUAUGUUCUUUGCUUCUCAUCAAUAGGCAUUUAUAAGGAUUAAUCAUAGAGUUUCUGAUUAAUUUGGAUUCCUUCUUUGAUUAGGUUUUUGGAUUAUCAAAUUAAUCAUUAAACUUAUCUUAUGCAAGUUAAAUCCAACUAUGACUCUCAUUAACCUUAUUCACGGCCAGAUUUAUUUUUUAUUUUUUUAAUUAUUUUUAAUUAUUUUGAUCACUAUCAUUAUCUCUUAACAAGAGUAAAAAAUAAAUAAUUAAAUAAUCAUGAUAAAUCCUAAAAAAAUAAUAAAAUAAAUAAAUAAUAAACAAAUAAAUUAAUACAUCAAUGGGUUGGUUUGACCCCUUUAGACCAGGCUCAAUUGAUCCAGGCCUAGAUCAAAUUAGGUGUCUACAGCUAUCCCUCUUUGUACAUUUCCUAUGUAACAAGAAUUGUGCAAAGACAUAGACACCCCACUUAUGCCGACACAUUCACUUUCUUUUUUUUAAAAAAAUAAACAUCCAAAUUUGCUAAAUGACCUGAAACUUUUCUAGAUAGAGGUUCAUAAUUUUUAGAGAAUAAACAAACUCCUUUAAAUAAAGGCUUAACAACUUUUGGAAAAUAAACAAAGUUCUUCUAAAUAGAGGCUCAACGACCUUUGAAAAAUAAACAAAGCCCUUCUAAACAGAGGCUCAACGACUUUGAAAAAUAAACAAAGCCCUUCUAAACAGAGGCUCAACGACUUUGAAAAAUAAGCAAAGUUCCUUUAAACAAAAGCUCAACGACUUUGAAAAAUAAAUAAAGCUCCUCUAAAUAAAGGCUUAACCACUUUGAAAAAUAAAAGACUCUUUGAUAGUCAUGUCCAAAGGAGUCAUAGAUCGUGUUUGAAGAAAUUUUAAGAGAUUAUGCCCGAAGAUCUUACAAAUCAAUUCUAAUACUGAGAGAUAUCCUUUUCCAAAGAUUAGAAUCUUACCUCACAAGCUUAUUCUCAAACGAGAAUUUAAAACUUUUACAUCGAAAAUCUUCGCAUCUAUCUUCUCCAUGUGGGAUUCUGGAAUAUCUUUGUUUUCUAAGUUUAUGCACUAGACUUUUUCAAAUGCAAUAUAUACUAUGCACUAGGCAUUUAGAAAUGCAAUGCAUGCUAUACAAAUGUUGAUUAAUUGUGGUACUCAAGCUUCUCAAGCUCUUUUCUUGGGCCUCGAACCUUUUAAUCUUCAAAUACUAAGAUUACAUCAAUGUGACUAUCAAUCAUCUCUCUCAUUUAAUUUUCAUUUUUUUUGUAAGAAAUUUUUUUUUGAAUUCAAUGUCCUUGUCAAGAACUAAACAUUUCAAAUUUGCCUUUAUCACUCUUAACGUUUCUAAUGUAAUGUAGAAAUCUUUCAUGCUAUUAUUCAUUUAUCAAUUAUUAUUUCAAUUUCAAAAAGUAAGAACACAUUCACACAUUUCUUCCAUUGUAAGGUUGUAAAAAGGAAAGAGUAAGAAUGGUUGAGAAAUAAUCAACAAAAAGAAAGACACAAAAAAUGAAGUGAAAUAUCUUUUAUUGGCAAGAAUGAUAGCAAACUUUGGCCAAUGGGCAAAGAAAGAAUUACAAAAAUGGGUAUAAGGAGACAAUGUCCAAAAAUAAAUAAUUGGACAAUCAUGAUAACAUAUCUCAAAGUCCCUUCCAAAAAAUUCAACCAUUUAAUUCACUUUACAACUUAGAGCCCCUUAUAAUAUACUAGCCUAUUUGCUAAUGAAUUUCUAGAUUUAAUGUUGUAUUCUCCUCAUCUAAGUUACUUUUUUAGGUUUUCAACUUAAAUAAACCCCAUAUGACUUAAACCACCCUCUUGGGGUUUUCGCCUUGAGUCUUUUUUUUGUUUUUUUUUUUCUCAUUUUUUUUUUAUUUUUUAAGCAUAUUACUUCUUUACAACAUCAAAAUUUAUAGGAUGAGGCAAAUCAUUUUCAUCCAUCUCAACUAAUAUCAAUGUUCCACCUGAGAAAGCUCGCUUCAUGACAUAUAGCCCUUUUCAAAUCGAAAUCUAUUUUCCUCUAUUAUCAUGCUGAUUUGGAAAAAUUUUUUUCAAAACUAACUUUCAUUCUCAUAAACAAUGAGGUCGAACCUUUUUAUCAUAGGCCCUUAUCAUUCUUUUUUAAUAUAGUUGACCAUGGUAUAACUGUCAAUCUCUUUUCCUCAAUGAAAUUUAACUUUUCAUAGUGCUCUCGAAUCCAUUCAGUUUUUUUUAGUUCAACUUCCUUUAGAACCUUCAAGAAUGAGAUCUCCACUUCACUGGUUUUACAACUUCCAUCCUAUACACUAAAGAAAAUGGGGUUGCCCCAAUAGAGGUACACAUCAAUGUUCGAUAUGCAUGCAGCGUAAAUGGUAACUUCUCAUGCCAAUCUUUAUAGGUCUUAGUCAUCUUUUUGAAGAUUCUUUUUAUAUUCUUAUUAGCUGCCUCAACUAUCCCAUUCAUUUUCGGAUGGUAUGGCAUAAAAUUAUGAUACUUGAUCUUGUAUUGGGCACAUAUUUCUUGUAUCAUCUUGCUAUUCAAAUUUUUGGUAUUUUCUGAAAUGAUUUUCUUCAACAGUCCAUAUAUGUAAAUAAUCCUUUUUUUAUGAACUUGCAGACCACAGAUCAUGUUAUAUUUUCAAAUGAUGUUGUCUCCACCCAUUUUGUGAAGUAAUCUAUCAUCACAAAACUAAACCUAUGCCUAUUAGAAGCCUUUGGGGUAAUAAGACCAAUGACGUCCAUGCUUCACAUUGAGAAUGGCCAGGGUGGUGUCAAAACAUGUAAAACAAAUGGCGAAGCAUGGAUCUUAUCAGCAUAUAUCUAGCAUUUAUGACAUUUUAGAGUGUAAUUAAUGCAGUCACUCUUUAUUAUCAAUCAAUAGUACCCUACUCUUAUGAUCUGUCUUGCCAUCAUAUGACUAUUGGCAUGUGCUCCACAUAUUUCAUCAUACACCUCUUCAAUGAUUUUUUUUACCUCGGCCUUAUUUACACAUCUCAAUAAUACUUGAUCGCGGUUUCUUUUGUAUAGAACAUCCCUAUCCAGGAAUAAGCUCAUAGCUAAUCUUUGAAUGACCUUUUUAUCAUUCUCUAUUGCUUGGAUAGGAUAUUGUUGAUUCUUAAUGUACUGCAAGAUAUCAUAAAAUUAGGGCUUUCCAUCCUCUUCUUCUUCUACAUUGAAGCAAUGAAAUGGCAUACCCUUGACAUCUAGCUUGAUAGGCUGAAUGUUAGUAUUAUCACUAAUUUAUAUCAUUAUGGCUAGAGUAGCCAAGGCAUCGACAAUCAGAUUCUCUUAUCAAGAUAAAUGAUUAAACUAGACAUCUUCAAACUACUUGAUCAACUCUAAAAUAUACUUAUGAUAUGGAAUGAGUUUCAAAUCUCUCAUCUCCUAUUCUUCUUUCAGUUGAUAUAUAACUAGAGUUGAGUCUCCCAACAUUUUUAAUGCUUUAACUUUUUUAUCUAUAGUAGCUUGUUAACUUAUGACACAUGCUUCAUAUUCAGUGAUGUUAUUCGUGCAAUUAAAAUUCAACCUUGCUAUUAUAUGGUAGUAUUGUUCUUUAAGAGAAAUCAAGAUUGCUCCAAUCCUUGUCCUAAGGCAUUGAUAGCUCCAUCAAAAUACAUUUUGCAACAUUUCUCUUCAUAUUUUUCUUUCUUUAAUUGGGAAACAAUCAUAAGAUCUUCAUAAAAAAACUCCAAUCUCAUUGGUUCAUAAUUUUUGAUAGUAUGAUCUGUGAGAAACUUAACUAUAACACUCCAUUUUAUUACCUUUUGGCUUACAUAUAUGAUAUCAUACUCCGAAAGCAUUAAUUGCCACCUAACAAUUCUCCUAAACAAAGAAGGCUUUUUGAAUAUGUAUUUAAUUGAAUCCAAUUUUGCUAUAAGCCAAGUGGUGUGAUAGAGCAUAUAUUGUCUGAGUCUUUUGACAGUUCAAGCUAAUGCAUAACAUAUUUUUUCUAAAAAAAAAAAACUUGGACUCAUAUUCUGUGAAUUUUUUACUUAGAUAAAAAAUAUCUCUUUUUUUUUUGUCAUAUUCAUUUUACGGCCCCAGUACACAUCCUAUUGAACUUUCGCACACUGUCAGAUAUAAAAUUAAGGGUAUUUCUGAAAUAGGUGGCACCAACACUGAAAGAUUUGACAAGUAUCGCUCAAUUUUAUCAAAAGCCAUUUGGCAUUCUUCAUUCCAUUCUCUAGGGUUAUUCUUACAAAGAAACUUAAAAAUGGGAUCAUAUUUAUAAGUAAGCUGAGAUAUGAACUAUAAAAUGUAGUUCAAUCUCUCCAAAAAAUCUCAAACUUCUUUUAGUGUACUUGAAGGUGACAAAUUUUAAAUGGUUCGUAUUUUAUCUAGAUCAACUUCAAUCCCUCUUUCACUGACACAAAGCCUAGAAACUUUCCUGACUUUGCUCUGAAGGUGCACUUGGCUGGGUUUAACUUGAGUUAAAAUUUUUUUAACUUUUCAAAUAGCUUUUUGAGGUUGGUGACAUUAUCUUCGUCUUUUUAAGAUUUUACAAUCAUAUUAUCUAUGUUCACCUUAAUCUCUUUGUGCAUUAUGUCAUGAAAUAACAUCACCAUGGCUUUUUGGUAUGUUGUUCCAGCAUUUUCUAACCUAAAAGGCAUGACCUUGUAGCAAAAGAUUUCUCACAUGGUCACAAAAGUGAUCUUUUCCAUUUCAUUUUCAGCCAUCUUUAUUUGUUUAUACCUUGAGAACCUAUCCAUAAAAGAGAACAUUGAAUGCUUAGCCGUGUUAUCCACCAGUGUGUCAAUAUGAGACAAAGAAAAGUUAUCCUUUAGGUUAGCCCUAUUUAAAUCAUGAUAGCCUACACAUAUUUAUACCUUUCUAUCUUUUUUAGAGACUGGUACUAUAUUGGCUACCUAUUCUGGAUACUUGGCUACUUGCAAGAAACCUACAUCAAACUACUUUUUCAUUUCUUCUUUAAUCUUUAACAGCAUUUCAGGCUUCAUCCAUCUAAGUUUCUACUGGACUGGCUUACUCUCUGGCUUCAAGGGUAAUCUGUGCUUUACUCUAUCCGUACUAAGCCCUGGCAUAUCUUGUAAGACCAAGCAAACAUAUCUAUAAAUUUUUAAAAUAGAUUUUCCAAACGUUGCUUAUCUUUCGAUAAAAAUGAAGUGUCAAUUUUAACAUCUUUCUUAUUCUCUUUAUCUUCUAGACUCAUCCAAGUCAGUUAUUUCCUGAUGAGGCCUUAAUUGGCUUACUUUUUUGCUCAAAUCAAUCUCCAUUAGUUCCGAAGGCAAUAACAUAUUCCUUAUAAUCAUCUUUGUUAUCAAGCACAUCAGUGUUAAUUGAUUUUUUAAAAUUAACCUUUUUAUCGUUAUCAUGAUUAGCUUCUUGUUUAUUUAAGGAUCUGAAAUUGCAUGAAAUGGGAUAUAUUGGCAAGAUGUGUUUAAAAAAAUAAAAAAAUGACAAUAAUGAAGGCACAAGAUAAAAUGAAUAAAAAUGCAUCCUUUCUAAUCUUUAUUAAAAUAAUAAAAGAUAUAUGGCCCAAAUAAGAAAGAUCACUCCAAUGUUUUAGGCAAUAGCUAUUGGGAUGUACAAUUACAUUGAAUUAGUCUUAAACGUAAAAGGCAUUUCAAUGAUACUUUAAUUGUUUAGCUUAUAAUCUAACAGAUAGAGGUGGACCCACCCUUCUCGUUCAAGCCUCUUUUCAUCUUUAAUAGCAUGGAUGAUCAACUAAGCAAAUCUCUUUUCCAUACUUUGUUCAAAAUCUUCUUUUGCACUUGGGUACAUAAAUCCUCCAGGCCUGAAAGUCUCGUACAAGUGUGAGAUUUCAUUAGUCUUGUUAUUUUACCAGCUUGUCUUCUCUUAAUCUCCGUUUUUUCUGCUUUAUAACCUAGGCCUAGCUUUUCAUUGUUGUUCAUCAUUGUUGGGGGUUCUCUUAUCCCUUGUAAAGUUUUACCCAGUCCUACUCCAGGAUACUAGCCCUUAUUGAUGAUCUGACUUAACACUAUCUUUAAAAAUUAUCGAUUUUAGGUUUUUUCCCUAUAGAAUUGACUAGUUCAAAAGAUCGGUAGGAACACUCCACUAUUUUUUCAACAACUUUCAUAUAUGAGGCAUUCAAAGGUUGGGUUUUCCUUCUCAAACACCACUACUAAUUGACCUUUUAUAUUAAACUUGAUCUUUUGGUGUAGGGUAAAGGGCAUAACACUUACCAUGUAAAUCCAUGGCCUUUCUAAUAGAUAACUGUAAGAUAAAAAGAUAUUUAUCACUUGAAAUUUCACAUUAAAAGUGUACAACCUAAUUUGUAAGGGCAUCUCGAUAUCCCUCAAAACUUUUCGUCUGGUCUCAUUAAAAGUUCAAAUGAGCAUUUGACUGUCCUUCAUAUGAGAGCAGUCGAUAAGUAGCCUUGCCAAAGUUGCCAUAAGCAUGACAUUGAUAACGGAGCUAUUAUUAAUAUGGCUAUAAUAUGGCUCUUGCACUUGACCGUGAUAUGUAGAGCCUUUGAGCUUUCCUUUCCUUUCGAGAGAAUCUCAUCAUCACUAAAUGAUAUAUAAUUUGGCGUGACUAGGUUUUUGGCUAAAUGGUUCACAUACUCAAUAAACACAUUAUGUGCCAUAUAUGCCUGGUUUAGCACAUUCAACAAGGUAUUUUGAUAUGGUUUUGAAUUUAAUAACAAUGACAAUAAUGAGAUUCGUGCUAGCAUCUUAUUCAAUUGUUCAACCACUGAGUAUUCAUUAUGUUUUACUAAUUUUAAAAAUUUACAAACCUCUUUUUUUGACAUUGACUUUUAGGUUUUUUCUUCGGGUACCACAUUCAAAUUAUUCUACUCAUCUUCCACUCUGGCUUUUUCUUUUCUAGCCUUCUCUAAUAUUUUAGGAGUGUAACAUUUUUCACUUCAAGUAAUGUCUCCUAUACCAGUUAUAUUGGUAGCUCAGACUUAGAAACAUUCUCCUUUUGCCCCUGAACUAUCGUAUCGCAACCAUAUUUUUAGGGUAUAGCUUUGUCAUCCUUAUACGAGAAUGGAAUCAAAACUCUAAAAGUUACUGGCCUGGGAAUGAAUUUUUUUAUGAUUGACUUUUGCUUGUCACCAUAAGGAAUUGUUAUUGAUUUUGAAAAUAAUUUUGUAGGCCUAUCAGUUGUAGAUAUUUCAACACUCUUUGAGACCUCUCCCUCUUCAUAAAGUUUCGUCUAGUAUGAAUCUAUGAGCUUUUGUACCAUAUGAUGAAACUGCUCACAAGUUUCAAUAGAGUAACCAAUUACCCCAUUAUGAUAUUUAUAACUUGUACCUACUACAUAAGGUUCAUGAUAACUGUGCAGACUCACUGGUUGUAUCAUGUUAACUUUUCAUAAAACAUCAAAUAAUUGAUUGAAAGGUGUUUUAAUGUCUGACAUCUUUUUUUUUCAGAUGAUGCUCAUGUUCUUCACUAAGGCAUUCACAUUGUGAUUAGGCAAAUGAUUGCCACUAGUGUUUGGUAUAGUUACCCCUCCUAUAUCAAAGUUAAUCAUUUCAUCCUUGAUUAACCAUUACACAUUAUGCUUCAAGGUAGUGCAAUUCUUAAUGGAAUGACCGAUAAUCUCGUAAUGAUAGUCAUAAUGGGCUGUGAGAUCAUACCACUUAGGAUAAGACAGCUUAAAUGGCUCUAGUUGACUAAGAGCAAUAAAAUGAUUAUUGUAAAGCUCACGAUAUAACUCCAUAUAUGUCAUGGGGAUUGGGUUAAAUAUGGGUUUUUCGCGAGGAGUUCAUAGCUCUCUUGCACCACUUAUCAGGCUAGCGAAACGGGUUUAAAGUCUUAGGGUAGGUUGAACGUUAAGACUAUAUGUGGUAUUUUAAGGUCUAAAAGAGGGUUGAUAUGUUGGGGGUAAGAUGGCCAUAGGAUUGGUUGGUAUGGGUAAGGGGAAGUAUUAUUCAUAGUAAGAUAAUAUGGAGAGGUGGUUAGGGUUGAUAACUCCUGAACUGUUAUCUAUCAAAGCUCAUAGCUUGAACUUCAUCCUCUUUUUUCUUUAGGGCUCUCUUAAUGGAUGCCUCACCUCCUUUAACUUAUCAUUUUUAAUGGUAUUCUCGAUGAUUUCACCUAAAAUUACCAUGUCAGUGAAAUUUUUUGUUGCAUUCCCUAUUAUCUUUUCAUAAUAGGGAGAUUUUAGAGUGUUAACAAACAACAUUGUAGUUUUUUUUUUAGUUAGAAGAGGUUGCACUUGAGAGGCUACAUCUUUCCAUCUUUGGACGUAUUCUUUGAAGAUUCAUUUACCUUUUUUCUCAAUAUUCUGUAAAGACAAAUGAUCAAUAGCUAAGUCUAUAAUAUGUUGGUAUUGACUAAUAAAGUCAUGGGCCAUAUCGCUCUAAAUACGGAUGCGAGUUCUAUCCAACUAGAUAUACCACCUAGCAAUGGAGUCGGUGAGGCUAUUUUAAAAAGUGGCUAUUUUGAAAAGGCUAUUUUUUAAUAGUACAUGGUAAUAUGAGUUUUUGGACAUUUCGUACCAUCAUAUUUCUUAAAUUUUGAAACUUUAAACUUUGACGGUAUUACAACAUCUGGGACUAGACAAAGCAGCAGCAUCUAUGGAGCCAUAAGAGCCAAUUCAUUCUACAAACCGUAGCCUCUAUUCCAGCAUCCUAAUUUUUGAGUCUUCCAAUGAUUUAAUUGCUUUUGUUUUUUUUUUUUUUCAAAUCAUCUAAAUUAAAAACCUGUAUUGGUUCCAUUAUCUUUUCAAUAAAGACAGGAUUCACAUAGCUAUGGUAAUGCCCUGGAUUCGAAGCUGAUGGCAUUUUAAGGUAUAUAGGAUAUGUAAACUGCUAUGACAGUAUAUCUUGUGUGUGGGCUUGUUGUCGACCAAACCCGAGAGGAUAUAAAAGGUCGACCACUUCUUAUGAUGAAGGGCCCUGUUAGCUUAUGUUCUCUUCUAUUUUUUUUUCUUGUUUAACUUGUUAAAAGCAUCCAGAAUCUUAUUCAACUCAUUUUCAAGCUUUUUCUGUGCCUUUUCUAUUUUUCCAAGUCGAUGAGAGAUUUCUUGCUCCAUUUGUCCAGCUCUGGCUCUUGUGUUAUAUUGGUGGAUAAAGUUCUUGUUGGAUGGAGCUAUCCCUGAACCUUGAAUACCAUAUCUCAAAAUUAGUAAGUUUAUACGACUAUCUCAUGAAAACUUAAAAUGGUUAUUUUGUUAAAUGUAAUGAAUAAGAAUGCAAUGAAUAAAAAUACAUGCAUGCAAAUAACAUUUCCCUUAAGACAGUGUUCAACCAAAAGAUUUCAUUUAUUUCAAAGAACUUUGUUUACAUAGAAUUUGUUAUCCUAGAGUUAUAACCAUAGAAUUGUUUGAUUUACUCAUACUGGUCUCUUACUUUCUCAAUGAAAUUCAGCAAACGCUGUCCAUGUUUCCCUACUAGGGCCACCACUUGCUUCAAUGCUUCUGCCUCUUCAAUCAUUUCUCUUGCCUUAUAUACCCCUUUGUAAACUUGGGUUGUUAAAUGCUCAAUGUAAUUAUAUCUUCCUAAGUUUUCCCUUUUACCACACCAUACUUGGUAUGAUAACUCUCUAUGCUCUCUAACCAAUGCAACAAUAUAGUUUUCUUGUUCAUUCAACCUGCUUAGGUAGCUAUUCAAUAUGUUAUUUUUAUCUAUAUCUGGGUACUUUCUUAUUCUAAUUCAAUAUAUUCUUACUUCAAUUGCUUAUUUUCAUCAGUCAGCUCAGCGAUUGUUAUCUCUUUGGCUUUUACCUUCACACAUAACCUCUUAUGUUCAUCGUGUAGCUCUGCUAGGUCUUUGACAAUUGUAUCACGUUCUCUAGCAAUUUUGUAAACUUUUACUUCAUAUUUUUUAGCUCUAUCUUUCCAUUGAUCUCUCUUCCCUCGAAGCUUCUAAAUCUCUUGCCUUAGACUAUCCUUUUAGGUCUCUCAUUCUUUCUUUGCAAGUUCUAAUUUUGAUGGUGUUUCUUCAAGCAUUUCUCCUAUUGGUUGUCAAAAACCUUUAGGAGUGAAUACCACUUCUUGUCCUUAUCUUGCUCUCCAAACCAGGUAUCCAUAAGUGACUUUAUCAGUGAAGGGUCCAAGACUCACCCUGUAGGGGUUUUUCUAUGCUUUAAUCACAUCAUUCAUCCUCUGAAAUGCUUUUGGCUUAUUAUAAGAAAAAUCUGACUGAUGAAGGUUAUGUGUCAUAGGAAUGAACUAUUCUACCCCAAACUGUCAUUCACUAAAAGUGGCGCGUAACUUGUUACUCCCCAUAAACCCCAAAGUGAGACCAUAAUGUUAUCUCCAUACUGAUAUAGCAUAGGUUCAUGAUUCAUCUAUAAGGCCAACCAUCUCACCUCGAUGCUUGUCAGCUUUGUUAAGGAUGCUGUCCAUUUUUUUUUAGACUUUUGUUCUGGCUACUCAUUUUUGUAGAAUUCAUUGAUUAGAGCUCGAUUAGAAAAUAAAGCUUUGAGAAAACACCUCUUUUACACUUGAAAUGGCUUUUCAUCCAUAGAUACAAUAGUUGUAUACAACCUGUGAAACAUCCUUUAUUCUGGCGAUAAUAACUCAACGAUCUAAUGGUCUCUACCAAUAUCACUGUUGAUAGGUUGCAGCCAUUGAUCACAUUUUUGAAGAAGUUAAUCACUGUUAUUUCAAUAUAACCCAAAACCUUCAAAAAAUCACCAUUCCAUAUAUGGCUAAGGCAAACAUGUCUAACUCCAGUACCUUGUCGACAUGUUGUAUUAGAAAAUCAUAAAAGAACUUUUAAGGUAAGCAAACCUGUUCUUAUUUUUUUUUGUAUGAGAAUCCAUAAUCUCCUUGUUUAUCCCUAUAAGAUAGGCCAGAUUCUUACAGAAUCCUAAUUUAUGUUUUUUGACAUAUAUCUUGUUAGAAGCCUAAAGGUACAAACCCAACAAAAUCAAAUAUUCUUUAAUGGUCAGUGUCAUAUCAACUUCAUUGAAGAUGAAAUACUUGUAUGAAGGAUCCCAGAAUUGCAUUUUAGCUUUAAUUAGUUGAUUCUCAACAUUCACUGUAAGAAGGUGUGCUAUAUGUCCAUGCCUUUGGCAAAACUCCUCUUAUCUUAAUGGAUUCAUCUUCUUCCAUAUAUCAACCAAAUCCUCUAAAUUAUUUUGUUUGAGGAGGAUGGAUGCUUCUUAAGACAAGGUGAAAGCAUAACCGAUUGGUAGAUAAUCCCUUUCCUUUUGUUGAAUCCUUUCUGAUUAAACCUUUACUUCGUUGGGUGACUCACAAUAAGCUAAUACAGACGAAGAGCAAACUAGUCGUUCUGUGAAAUCCAUGAAAAACUCUUUGUUGAAUACCAUCUUUUAAGCAAAAGUUCUUUAUGCAACUUUAUGAUAUGAGCAUGAAUCAUGCAAAAAUUAAUAAGAGAAGAGGUUAGUACACCAAAUAAAAAAAGAUAAACAAAUAAAUAACUAAAUAAAUUAAAACUUCAUACACAAUAAAAGGAAUGAAUCCUAUGCUUUUGGUCAAUUCUAAAGGGUGAGAGAUGGCUCUAUCUAUAGGUUAGGCAUUUCUAAGGUUCAUUGUAUGUGAUUAAAGUUUUUAAAAGUUCCCAAAUUGAAUCUUACAUUAUCGUCCAUCACUGACUAGUAAGACACCCUAAUCCUCAUCCAUUAUAGGCUAUAAGCGAAAAAAGUUCAAAUUGAGUGGAAGUAUUUCGCUAGCCACCGCAAAGACAUUAAAACCUCAUGAAAAAUCAUUGAAAAAUUAAGUAAUGCUUACUUAAAUAAAUAAUUCCAAUUUAAUCAAUAAAUAAAUAAGCAAAAAUAAUAAUAAUAAUAAUAAUAAUAAUAAAUGAAAAAAAAACCUUGACACGACUCGGUUCAGCUGGAAAAGGUACAACUCUAGAGACAAACAUAGCUAGACCGACUCGGUGUACAGCUCAACUUAGUGGCUCGCCAGAGGCUGAAGGAAGUGGGUAAAUGGGUUAUGCACUGCGAGCCAGGUCGUCCAGCAACAAAAUGCAAGGAUCUUGGGACGUUACUUAACUCCAAAACGAUGUCGUUUCAGGGCCCUAUAUAAGGUCAAAUUUAGUUUUUUUUUCAACAGAUUUUUCCUUCUUUUUUUCUCAUUUCCCUUUAUUUUCUCUCUUUCUCUAGGAUUUAAGAACAACGGUUGAAUCUUUCAUCAAAUUUUGGGAUUGUCAUCGAAAUCUGAGUAGGGUCGUAGGAAGUUCGUCGAAAAGUUUAACAGUUUCUAAAGUGUGACGCCAAAAACUAAGGAACUGGUCGAAAACUGGAAAGUUUGUCAGAAUCUCGUCAAAAAAUUUAAACGGCGCUAAAAAAUUGAUCAAAAUAUGGAAAAAUGUCCAAAAAAUUUUCAAAAAAAAAACCUAAAAAUUUGAAAACUGCCUCUACUCUUCUAAACACUUUUUUUACUUCUAUUUUUUGUCUUCCUACUUUUUGUGUGUUCUUUGCUUCUGAUCAAUAGGUAUUUAUAGGGAUCAAUCUCAAAGUUUCUAAUUAAUCUGAAUUCCUUCUUUGAUUAGAUUUCUGGAUUAUCAGAUUAACCAUUAAACUUAUCUUAUGCUAGUUAAAUCUAGCUAUGACUCUCUAUUAGCCUUAUUCACGAUCAAAUUUAUUUUUUAUUUUUUAAUUAUUUUUAAUUAUUCUGAUCAUCAUCAUUAUUUCCUAACAAGAAUAAAAAAUAAAUAAAUAAAUAAUCAUGAUAAAUCCUAAAAAAAUAAUAAAAUAAAUAAUAAACAAAUAAAUUAAUACGUCAAUUGGUUGGUUUGACCUUUUUGGACCAGGCCUAAUUAAUCCAGGCCUGGACCAAAUUGGGUGUCUACAUUAAAGUUCAAAAUAGAGGCUCAAAUCUAAAUUUUUGAAACAAAACACAAGUCUCACCAUGAUCAAACAAACUCCAACAAUAAUCUCGAAUCACCCCAAACAAUUAUCACCUCAACAAUCUUUAAAUCGAUUAUGCACUCAUUUUAGAAUACAUGCAUGAGAUAGGAUAACCACCAGGUCAAACCAUAGCUCAAAGCUAGUCGUCGUCCAAAAAUGACUUCCUUUUACAAUAUCGACCUUCAACGAAAUAUGCAGCCACCUACCAUUCACUAUUGGCGAUUUGAUACUCAAACUGCUUGAUGGGUGGGCAAACUGUUACGAGCAUAUAAUGAUCAAAAGAGACAUAGUGGUCUUUUCCCUCUCAAAGCUUUCAACAGAUAACCAGGAGUAUCUUGAUCAUUUGUAUUGACCUGACAUGUCAAGUCGGUCUAACAUUAUCAGUGCCAUCUCAGCUUGGUUUUGUCCUAAUUGUCCAUUUUUUGUCUCCCUCAAUCUACCUAUAAAUAUGAAGAUUACGACACCAUAAAGCCAAAUUCAUCCUAUUCAUUUUUCUCUCUCCUUCUCGCUUUUUUACUAAUCUAAUUUUUAUUGACUUGUGCGUCAAAGCAUAAAUACAGGAAACACCCAUUGUCUUUACCUUUUAACUUUCCUUCAUUUUUGUAUUUACAAAAAUACUCUAAGGUCGAAACUACUUAACACCAACAAAUUGUUAAUGAAAUUAGUUUUUUACUUUUAUCAAAACUUAUGUGUUUCUUGAGUUGUUAAUGCGUUGUUGAAUUUUUGACGUGGUAAUACUGGAAUGCGUUUAUGCUCUAAUGAUAAUGUGCAAUUUUUUAUUGGCCAUGUAGAGUAAAAUGGAUCUUUACCAUAAAAGCUGAAAAUAAAAUUGACGAUCAUUUUUCCUCAAAAACAUUGUCUUACAAAAAUUCGUCGCUGCCAUCGCUGUCCGUGGACAAAAUAUAGCGGGUUGUACGUGGCUUGUUUUUUCAUCAAAACCAAAUCCGAUGGCACCUUUGAUCGCUAGAAGCCAGACUUGUGGCCAAAGUUUUCACCUACUGCCUGGAUUGGAUUACGAUGAAAAAUUUAGCUGAGUUGUUAAUAAGCCCACUAAAAUUCGGCUUGUACUCAAACUGGCUGUUUCUCAAUCAAUCAUGUUUUUUCUGUAAUUUAACGAUGGUGGUUUUUAUGUAGCAACUACUUGGUUUUGUUGAUCAAAAUUUUCCAAUUCAUGUCUGAAAACUCAAGAAAUCUUUUGUAUCGGUUAAAGCAAGCACCAAGGGCAUGGUUUUCUGAACUAGUAAAAUAUCUUCUAACUCUUGGUUUUAGGGCCAGUCACGAUCAGAUUCUGAUCUCUUAAUUUUUAACCUAGACCAUUUAUUUUCUUCUGCAAGUUGAUGACAGCAAAUGAGCCUGAUCAAUUAGUAAGCAAGAUUAUUGCAUCCUUAUCUCUCAUAAAUUCUCUGUUAAAGAUAUGGGAAAUUUACAUUGAUUAAUUACUUUCUCGAUCGGUUUUGAAGUCCUCUCAAUAUUCUCAACAAGGACUAUUUCUAUGGCAACAUAAAUACAUUCAAGACAUCCUUACUUGGAAUCAAAACUGUCUCUACUCUCUACUCCAUUGGUUACCACUUUCUUCUCUUAUUCUCAAUUAGGACUAUUGGCUGAUCCAAUAAUAUACAUGCAGGAAAGUCUGCUAGUGAUGACAUGUCCUUAAUUUGCUGUGAAUAAUUAAACCUUGCUCAAUACAUGCAAUAAUAGUCUGCUAGUGAUCUUGUGAAGGCCUUUAGUAUCUAUAACUUCAUAUAAAACUUAUCCCCCAGCAUCUUUGGAAAGGACAAGUAAGCAAUAUUAAAAAAAAAAAAUUGAGGGGUAAUUGUGGAAAUAAAGCUUCUCCAGAAACUUCUCCAAUCACCUGAAGGGAAAAGCUUCUUGAAAAUGCAGAUAGGGGAGAAAGCAAGAAAAAAAAGCUCACUCCAAAAUGGAGAAGAAUAGUAGUCGGUUGAGAGAGGUGAGAGAGGGAGAGAUGAUGAGUUACCCCGAGAAUGGGAUCUUCAAGAGCUUGAAAAAUGGCGGCAAACACUGAAUCCAUUGCCUUUGAAAAAGAAUCGAAGACCUUUUGUGGGUUUAGUGGAAGUUUGAGAAUUAUUAGAAUCAGAUGAGGUUUCUAUUUCUUAUAAGAUGAGAUUCUUGGGUUGGUUUCUUUUAAGCAGCGGGUGCUUAAAGACCUUAAAUUCAACUGUGGGUGUUUCUGCUUUUCACAAUGCUGCACUUUUUCCGACGGUUUUUUGGAACUUUCUUCGAUGACUUUUUUUUCUAAUUUUUACUUCUUUUGAAAUGUGUAGGUAGAGUGUUGCAGUAGAAUCUGAAUCGGGAGGUGGAGAUGAAGACUGACAGUGGGUUUCGACGUCGAACCAAUCCUUCGAUUUCGGAGCGUCUGACAAAAAAUCUAUAAGUAGAAAUUCUAAGGACUUUUUAUUACUGACAAUUUAUGUUCGGUUAAUUUAUGUUUUUUCAUUGACUUUAUUUUAAGUUGCGAGGAUUCGGAUUAUGAGGUUUUACAUGUUUGCAUGUUAAGUAUAUUAAGAGUAAACUCUUUCAACAAUAAAAGCAAGAUUAAGUUUUUGGGUUUUCUGCAAUAGUCUAUCUAAGACUCAAUUCUCAUGGGUAAUUUUCCUUUCCCCUUUUUUUCUUUCUUUGCAUGUUUAGUCUACUCUUUUUAUUUUGCUUUGCAUGCAACUUUUUUGGGUUUAUUAAUUUUCAAAAGUUUUUAUUAUUUCUGAUUUUCAAAAGCAUGAAAGUUGCUCCUAGGGCAACUUUCAUACUUCAAUAUUUUGUAUAAAAGUUGUUUAUCUUGCUGGCAAAAAAUAUAAAAAUGUCAUAUAGGUACAUACUUGGCUUAUUUGUAUGAUGCAUUUACCUUUUUCAUCGUCAUAAAAUAUGUUAAAAGUCAUUUUCUUGCUUUUUUAAAAGCCAUAAUAAUUUAUUGCAUUAUCUUAUGGCACUAUCAGUUGUCAUCUUUAAUAUUCUGCUUAAGUUUUAAUGUAAUAUUUUAAGGCUAAUUUUUCUGUCUAUUCGCUUAAUGCAUCUUCUACCAUGCUUAUUGUUGGAUGUUGUUUUCAUAUGUAGGAAUGAGCAUCUGAGCACUGUUCAGCACCUUUCCGAGCUCCUCAGUUGUGGGAUUGCCCAAGCCAUGCAGAUAUUGAUGAGAGAACUGAUAUUUGGUCGUUGGGGUGCACUUUAUAUGCAAUAAUGUAAGAACUAAUGCUUAUACAUGCACUUAUACAAUGUUUGCUUUCUUUUAAUGAACUUUUUGUUGUUUUACAUUUUGUCCUUUUAUUAUCAUUCAUCAAGUUCUUUUGUUAAACAAUAUAGUAAGCAAAGUGUCUCAGCAAGUCUUGUGGCUGGAAUCUCUUUAUUGGUUUCCUUCUGGCUUAAUCUAAGGAGUAGAUUUUAAGUAUUUGAUGUGAAAGUUCUAUAAUGCUAAAACCAAGGCUAUUGUUUUUUCAUGUAGUUGUCCAUUGGUGUCUAAGCCUUAGAAGAUGAACACUAAAACACAUGAAAUUAUACAAAUUCAAGUAAUUCAGCAGUUUAAAGUAGCGUACAAAAUCACACACAAUGACUAGAAAGCAUCUGGUCCUAAAAUGAGUAGUCAUGGCUUACCUAAACUUUUAUGUAAAAAAAAAAACAUGUUUGCCUUAAUCUUCUUUUACCAAUCUUAUUUUGCUUUAAACUGAAGCAAAACACUCUAAUGUGACUGUUCCAUGCACAAAUUCAUUACUUUGUUUGCAUCAAAUUAUUGUUAUGCUUUUUCGUGCUGAUAUUACUUUCUUUUCUAAAAAUAAGAUCAAAUUAUUGACAUGCUUUUCAUGCUGAUAUAACUUUCUUUUCUAAAAAUAAGACGAGAUUUAACAGUAGCCAAAGUCACCAUUGUGUAAUUUUUUAGCUUAGUUCUGUGUUCCUUCUUUUCAUGUAUGUACUAUUUGAAAUCAAAACUUCAACACUUAAUCAUGAUUCUUAAAUUUGUUAUAUAAGACCUAAUGCUUGUUUUUUCAAUUUAAAGGUAAAAAAGGAAGGAGAUAUACCCAUAAUUGUAAUAGUAAGUUAUAGUCCAUGUAAGUAUACUCAUUUAUGUGUUUACUAAAUCCUACAAAUAUACAUAGGAACGCAUUGAAAGGAGCCACAAACAUGUGACAAACUUUUAUUUACAGCCGAAAAGUCUGAAAAGAAACCUGAGAAGCUGGGGUCGACUCACCACUCGACACUCACCAAUGGCAAUUACCAUAGGCCUUCAGCAGCUAGGAUGGUGCUAACUAGAAAACCAGUGACUACACCCCAUCGAAGAGUAUUAGUAGUAGAAUAUGUUAAUUUGGGUCCGUCAACCUGAUUUUGCGACACCAUGAUUGCACAUUUUACCUUCCCUUUUUAAGGUCAAUUACCAAAGUUUGCAGGGCCAUAUCAGAUACCUCUCACUUUUGAAUCUAAUCUUCUCAUAUCUGGGUCUUGAUAAAGCUAUCUCUGAUCUUCUUUUUUCACGUAUAAAAGUUACAAAGUGCAUGGUAAGUAAAAAGAAAACAAAAAUGAAAAACAAAGGCAGCUCAUAGGAAAACAGGAUUAUUAGCGGCUUUUUAAUAAGUGAACUUUAUGCUGGAAUUAUUUUUGAGUGAUUGAUUCCUUAUGUUUGUUUUUGGAUUAGGACAUCUCUUCUUUGUUGACAAGAUUCGAUUAUAGUCAUUAUUAUCAACUUAUUUUCUUGGAACCUUGCAUUACUAGCUGUGGGUGUUUGAUUUUUUUUAGUCCUUUAUAUGAACAGAAUAUGUAAAGAAGGAAGAUUGAUUUGGUUGGUAGUUGUUGAGGGGCACUUAUUUCCGAUUCUGUCAUUACAUUCCAAGUAUUGGUUAAUGGAUUAGGUACAUGGAGCCAAAAAAAUCUAUCCAAUGAAAGAACAUACUAUUCUGGGAUGUCAAAUCAAAUUCUCUUCUAGAUGCAUUUUCAGGUCGGCAUGGAAAGCAGACAUUUUUAUCUUCAUGACUGGUAAUAUAUUUCUAAGGGCUUCAUGUUUUUGAAUCCUUUUCAGUUCUUUGCUUCAGAUGAGAGGAUAAAGGCUGUCAGAAAGAUGAUAAUGGCAGUAACAGCAGAACCGAGGAAAGCAGCUCUUAACCUCUUACUUCCUUAUUAGAGAUCUGACUUUGAGGAAAUUAUCUGUGCAAUGGAUAGUACUUCUGAUCUUUUGUGCUUCUUUUAGAGCAUGUGUGCUUCUUUUACUGUGUGAUGUCAACCUGGUUGGAGCUUUGUUGGCGUGUAACAUUUGCAUAGAAUAUCUUAUUGCCCCUUUUUCGUUUACAUCUCUAUUGAGGAGUGUGAAUUUCAUUUUAAUUCCAGACCUUCCAGAACAAUCCGAUUGUUGGACUCCCCACUUCAUGAAUUUCUUCCAGAGGGUGACUUAGAACAGAUUGUAAGUGAAUUAACUUCAAAGACUGGCACGACUGAAGGUGAAGUUUUCUCAAGAAUUGAAAAUGUAUCUGAAGUGAAUCCCAUGCUUGGUUUCCAGGGUUGCAGGUUAAUAUUCCUUCUAAGAACCUUUAAAGCUGAUGGUAUUUGUUUUCCUUUUUCAUUUCUUGGCAAUGGCAUAGUGAAAUAAAAUCUUUAAGUGAUGGAUUCUAUGCUUAAUAUAGUUUGAUUAUGACAACAAAUUUCAUUUCAUAUCUGAAUCUUUUGAAAUAGUUUGAUUUCUGAUUUACAUGAGAGUGUAUGCAAAUAAAGAAUGAAGCACAAGAAAGCUCCAAAUGGAGCAUAGGUUGGAUUUGGAACCUUUUCUUCAUUUUUCAGGUUGUGAAUGAAAAAGCCAAUGUGCGGGAAAAUGCCAUCAUCACGGUAUUAGAUAUUAUAUAAUAUAUAAUAUAAUUAUUUAUUAUUAUCAUAUGUAUCAUAAAAAAUUAUCUACCUAAGCAUUCAGGUAGUUAAAUCUUAUAAGAUUUUUAUGUAUGUUGUAAUAUAAUAUUAUAUAUGAUUAACAAAAAAAUAUAAAUUAACUAUUUUAAUUUUUAUCUAUAUUAAUCAUAUUAUUGUUUAUAUAACCAUUUAAACUUCCAAAAAUUUACUUUUAUAUAUAGUUAAUAGAAUGAAAUUUAAGGUAGAAGAUAAAAUUAGCAUGCAAACAUUUUAUUUCCUAUCAGACUUUUGGUUUCAAAUCUCUCUUCUUAAAAAAGUAUCAUUAAGGAUAAAUGUGAUUUUUAUGCAUUAUAUCACUUGUUUAUAACAAUUGUGUAACUACUUAAUUUUAAUUGAAUUUACUUCAGUCAAAAUUUGUCAUUGGGCUUAAUUAAUUAAAACUCAAAUUCAUUUUAAAUGAGAUUUUCAAGUUCAAAUUUGCAUCUGUGCAAAAUUGACUAAUUUUUAAAAAUUUACUGCUAAAUAUUUUUUAAUAAUUUUGAUUUUGAUUGAUUUGGAUAUAAUUUUAAAAUUUGAGAUUGAGUCCCAAAAUUUAAUAUUAUUUUUAGCAAAUGAUUUAAAUUUAAUCAUUUUAUUUUGAUUAAAGCAAUUAUUGUUUAUGAAUCUAGUUUUCUGUUUUCUAUAAAUUACUUUUUUCAGGUUAAUACGUUCUAUUUAUUCGGCUCCGUUUUAAUAGAUUAUGAAAUGGAAAAAAAAAUUUUAGCAUUCGUUUGAGCGACAAAUGCCAGGAUUAUAUUUUAGCAUCAACAUUUAAUUUUUAUAAUAUUAAUGUUGUAGCUUUUAGUUAAAUCGAAAUUAUACCAAACCAUGGAGCAAGCUGAAAACUUAGCUUAUCUCAUUUUAUAAUUGAAUCUAAUCACAAUUCAGUCCGUCAAUGGUUGAAUGAAAAAAAAAAAAAAAAAGAAUGGUUGUUAUAAUUAAGUAUAACAGGGUUCAUAUACAUUUUUAUUAAUUAGCUAGAUAGAUAGAUUUAGUAAAUGGUGUGACUCUAUUUUAUGAAAUGAGUUGUUUUAUUUUAAUUUGUUACCUCUAUGAUUAAUGCAGUACGGAAGGUGCAUGUUUAAUAAUCUCAUGUACAUAGUUAAUUAUUUACCUUGUCUUCGUUAUUUUCUUUCUUUUCUCUUGAUUUUUUACAUUUUGAAAAAGCAAGAACAACCCCUUUUUUUCUCUUUUUUUUUUUUAGCUUUUAGUAAUUAGAACAUUUAUGCUUGAAUUAUUUAUUUUCUCAGAUAAUGUAAUAUAGAUGAAAAAGAUAAAUACAUAUAAUGGUAUUGAAUUCAUUAAGUACAAUGAUUUUUGUUAUAUUUAUAUGUUUAAAUCGUCCAAAUUUAAUGGUUGUGAGAUUUAUUUUAUCAUCAUUUCCAUAUAUUGUCUUACAUGUGAGAGAGUGUUUCACUAAAAAAAAAAAAGGUAAAACUCACAUCUGCUAAAUUGGAGCAACUUGAGCACAUAAUCAAAUGUACUCAUCCUAUUUAUUGUCAAUUAAUUAGUUUUAAGUUAGACGUUCAUUUAAAAUUUAAUAUAAUAUCAAAAUAAGUAUUUUCUUGUUUGUUAGCUUUUUUAUGAUAAAUUUGUUAUGCUUACAAUGUGAAAUUUAUGUCACAUGAUAAAGAUUAUUAUAUUUACAAACAUGAAGUUCAUGCCACAUGAUAAAUCCAUUAUGUUACACAUGAGAGAAAAUAUUAUACUUAAAAUAAAGUAAAUCCCACAUGAAUUUUUUAAGGUAAAUCUCACAUAUAUUAAAUUGGAAUAUUUUGGACACAAAAGUAUAACAAUAAUCACUCUACUUAUUAUUAAUUGAUUUUAAAUUGGAUGUUCAUCUAAAGCUUAAACCAAAAAAUUUAUUACCUAAAAUUUCAUAGUUGCAUUAUAUAUUUUCUUUCUUUUCAGUUUAAUAUUUAAAGAAAAAUAUUUUUCAUUUAGAUUCUAUCCGAUUGAUAUUUUGUUAUUUUAACAAAGCUUUCUACAAUAAACAUAAUAAAAGGUGAUUUGAGUUAAAGAAAAUUGUUAGGGGCUUUUGCAUGUAUUGUUCCACAUGCGUACAAACUUGAUUCAACGUAAACUUUUUUUUUCUAAUUUUGAUUUAAAUAGAUCUCUUUUCAAAGACAGAACUUAUAACAAAUAAGAGUAAACACUUUUUUUUUUUUUUGAAGUAAAGAGUAGACACAACUUUUCAUCACAUGUAACAUGUAAAUCAAGUGAGUUUUAUUAUUUUGAAUAUUUUCUAGCAGCUGGUACACGCUUAUUUUGCUCUCCCUUAAGCAGGGAUAAGCACUAUGCUCUUAUUUCGCUAAAUAUAAUAUAGCAUGGCUGAAAUGCCCUUUUCUUACAGAUUUUGAUCAGCAGCUCUAUUUAGUUAAAAUUGAUUGGGUAUUUAGGCUGCUUAUUUGGAAGAAACAGUCCCCACUGUCUUUCAAUUUCGUCGCCCUGUUUUUUAUUCUCAUCAAACAUGGCAAAAAUAUAAGUUUCUAUAGGCUUUCCAGGCUUCUUUGGAGUACCUCCUUUCACAUGCUGGAUCAAAUUCUGGUUAUAAGUUCUUGCAUUAUCAAUAUUGGCUGCCGCCUGUGCCCCACCUCCAGCGGAUGGCCAUCCACUCUCCGACACAACAAUCUCCAUAGAAGCGCCACCAGCCUUCUCCAGGGCAGCGUAAACAGCAUCCAAGAUGGCAUCAAAAUGGUUAUGGUAUUGCAAGGGAGGAUCUGAGACGACAGGAUUUUGAGAUCUGAACAGAGCAUAAUCCAGGCUGAUAGCCGGGUUGCCAUCGUAGCUGAAAUAGGGGUACAAGUUAACAAGUAAUGGGGCUUGGUUGUUCACCAGGAAGCGAAUGAUGGGAUCGAGAAGUGGCCUGUAUUCAGAC
rnacentral:lncRNA from 1 species